rnacentral:lncRNA from 1 species
GGGGAUAGUAACCCAUUUUCAUUGUCAAUGCCUAGCUUCAUUUCUUCUUCUUUUUUUCUCAGCAUAACUUGAUGAGUGCUUAGCUUCAUUUCGAAGGUCGUGACACCAACUGAUUUUACCAAAAGCAGAGAUACUUUGUGAUGCAGUAAGCUAACAAGUUUCUGAAAUCAACUAUGUUUUGAACCAAAUUCCGGCGACGACCAGCAGCUGAAAAGCCGGUGAUUAAAGGGCACACUAGGUGCGUAAUUCUAUCAAAUCUUAAAACUGAAGUUAGGUUUUAUUAUUUUCUUGCAUUUUGUUGAAAAUUGCUGUUAGUUAGGUGCUUUAUUCUUUGUUCCAAUUAAUUGAGAAAAAUGUUUAGGGUUUAUAGAAAUUGAAGUAGUGACCGAAUAUAUCUGAAUUGAUUUUUAAGUUGAUAGUCACUCAACAUGUUGUGUAAACUAUGAAAAUAAUUUAUUUUUUGAUGAUUUUGGACUCUGGUUUUUGAAUGCCUACUGAAAUUUGCUUGAUCUGUUAUUAAAAUUGAGAAAAAUCCAAUCUUUUUCUAAGAAUGCAGAGGUGUUGCUGAGAAAAUGCUUAUGGUGUUGUUUUGUUUCUUUUUUUAUGUUACAAGUGUGCAGUUCAUGUAAGAUUGAGACAAUUGCUCUUGUUGCUUUUUGAUGUUUGUAUAGACUAAUUCCAAUCACUGAUUUUUGUUGGAAAAUGGAUGCUAUUAUUUUUCCUUUUCUUCGUGUAAAAAUUUGUAUUUCCGUUCCCGACAUAAAAUUCAGAUGCUUGCCUAUUACUUUUUGAGGUUGUUAUUUAGGUGUAAGAGAUAUAUUAGUUAUAGAGCUUGUAGGCAGUUGGUUUAUUGAAGAACUAGUACAGUUGAGAAAGUGUCUUUUAGGUCAUCCAUUUUAAUACACAUAUUAACAGAUUUAAUUACAUAAACACAAGACUUCAUUUGUUUAUCAAAGUAGUACUUUCUGAUGCUUUCGUAUAAUGAAUGCCAAAGAGAUGACAUUUGCAAAAAGGCCAUUUGAAUGUGCCAACUGCUAUCCUUGUAAACCUCUAUUGUGAUUCUGUUAUCAUUAUAUGUUGUUUAAUGAUCUGAUGAUUUCGAGAUAUCAAGAUGAGUUUAUUCAUACAAUAAAUGUUGUCAUUAGGUUCAUAAUUAUUGUAGUACAUGUUCAUUUAGCUACUUUAGGUACUGCUACAUGCAUUUAUUGUAUAAUGCCUACUUAGCAGCCAUAACUACACCCAUUGUUGAAGCCACAACAGCACAAAUGAGAAAAAAAACAUGUUUAGGAACAACAUUGUCUUUAUAUCAUUUCAUUUUACUCCAUUUUGUUGUGCUUUUUGCAUCAGUGACUUCAAAUCCUUCCUAUCCUUUUGCAUACUCAUCAGCAGUUCAUAAUUUGCUUGACAUGUUCCUAAACCAUCAAAUAUAACACCUUGGUCGAUAUCAUUUGAAGAUGGCAUCCAAAACUUGAAAUAGCCACAACCAUUUUUGCUAUCCAUACAGCAAUAAUAUAGCUUGUUUGGGUUGUCAUCUGAUUCCGCUACCUUCAUAGCAGCUCUUUUGUAGCAUUUACUAAUCUUGUUUGAAAAUCAAAUGAAUUUAAAAUAUUCUCAUUUAUUGUUUUUUGUAGCGUUCACUAAUCUUCUGAUAUUCAGUAUUGUUUUUAUAUAAAUUAAUUUAAAAUAUUAUCAUUUAUUUGUCUUAUUAUAUGAUUUUACACUAUCAAAUUAUUUGUUUUAAGGGGCAUUUUGGUCUUUUCAACACUCCAUUGAGUUUUGUCUUAUUAUAAGAAUAUGUAAUGUCAACAACAAUUAUCAUAAGGGUAUAAUAGCCUUUUCACCCCCCCAGGCGCGAAAAAAAAAAUUGCCCCAAAUAUAAAGAUCAUCUACAGUGUCAAAUAAUUUUGAAGGGCAUUAUUGUACAUUCACUCAACUACCUAAUGGGUGCCUAACCUUCAUACAUGGCCGGGGGUAUGUUGUCAAUAUAUGGAUACAUUCUCUCUAAGUGUAGCAAAGCCAAACCUCAGGGGUGGUUUCUAAAAGUUUUCCUAAAUAGUUAAUAAUUUUAUACAACAGAUUCUUGGAUACCCCUCAAGUUCAUUUAUUAUACGUUAUGGCUGACUUUCAAGAAAUUAAAUUCUACAUUAUGACCCCUAGGGAAACAACGUCGCCAAUAAAAUUAUAAACUAUAUGUGUGUAAUAGUUGUCAAACCUGAACCUAUGUUGUUUAGCAAUUUACAAAAUGAGAAAGACGACAAAAGCCAAGUGUUAGAGCGGCAGCGAGCCAACGAGACAAGCUCAAGUUCACUGUGUUUUUGUUGAACCUUCUGAAGAUCCGAAACUCGAGGUUUGUUUUUUCGUUCCCUAAUCGUUUGACCACAUUUUUAUUCUGUGCUACGUUCGUUAUGAACUAUUCAGGCUAAGUGUUCGACGAAAUUCCUAAGUGAGUAUAUAUAAUGGUUUGCUCUUGUAUUUAUUCUGUUAUAGAGGGUUUUGCUUUGGGUGGUUAAAUAGAGGAGAUUAGACAUUGAACUUUAUGCACUCGUAUGUUUUCAAGUAAUUGUUUGCUGAGGCACAUGUACUUUGAAUGGCUUCAUUCAUCUACAGAGAUAUCAUAACAUUUUUUGCUUAAUGUGAGUCUUAUUGUUGUUAAUUUGUCCAAAGUGAAGGCUUUUUUAACUUUUAUUUCUUUGAUUUAUUUAUUUAUUGGUGUGUCAAAGUUCUGUGUCUAAACUUUUAUUUGAUAAGUUCUUUCAGACAACUAAUUAGAAGAAAAAAAUGCUAGAGAGUGAGUAUGAGAGGGAAUGAUGUUUGGGCAAAGGGUGAUUGGUUCACUUGGCUCAUGAAGGACCCCAACUAUAAUGACAUGUAUCAAUUUCGCAGCCUAAUUGGAAGGUAAGCUCAUUUCUUGAUUUCCUUCAAUUUUCACUUCCAUUUUACUGUUUUCAAGUAGCAGGUAUUCUAAAUAAAAGUAAAAUCAGUAGUGAUUUGCUUCAAAUGCAUAUGGAUAGUAUAUCACAUGUGAGAAGAUUGUAUUUGUUAUAUGAAAAUCCUUAAUAACUUUAAUUAAAAAAUAUAUUCUCAAACCUGAUCGUGGAAUGUACUAUUUCUUAAUAUCUGAGUUUGGAUCAACACAUUUUUUGCCAUGCAAUUUGACAAGUUGUCAUGUCCUCAUUCUGCACUAUUAUAAGUUUUGCCAAUCUGCAUAGGUGUUUAAUAGAUUGAGUUAAUCUAGUUUCGAGAACAUGCCUUGCUAAAGGACGUCGAGUUUCUAAGUGAGGGCAAGUCAGCGGGGCAGGUCUGUUACCUCUAAAUUCUUUCAAUAGCUUGGGGACGUUAAUCCUAUUAAUGACAGCCACAUAUUAUAAGUCAAGAAAACUGAUUUUUUGAUUAUUGAAAAAUCAAAUUUUUUGUAUUAUUCUAUUGAUGAUCUCAGUAACCUACCUGUUGCGGUUGUCUUGUAUGGAUCAUUGUUUCUCUUUUAAGCUGUUAUGGUGACAAUUUUUAGCUCUUAUUGCAGUUCUUAAAGUCAUUGCAAGCACAUGCUCUGUCGAUCUCCAUAAAUUCAGAUACAUAUGCAUAGUUAGCUAUUCAAACAACCACACUGGUAUUCAACUUCAAUAUUCAGAAACAUGGCUGAAGUGAAGCUUCAUGGGGCAUGGGCGAGUGCAUUUUGUUACAGAGUGAUAUGGGCUCUGAAAUUGAAAGGCAUAGCAUAUGAUUACAUUGAAGAAGAUCUCUCUAACAAAAGUGCUUUGCUUUUGAAGCAUAAUCCAGUUCACAAGAAGGUCCCAGUGCUUGUUCAUGACGCAAAAUCAGUUUGCGAGUCCAUUGUUAUCCUUGAAUACAUUGAGGAGAUGUGGCCACAGAAUCCCUUGAUGCCAAAUGAUCCUUAUGAUAGAGCUCUGGCUCAUUUUUGGAUUAAAUUUGCCGAAGAUAGGGUUUGCUUCAGAACUCUAGCUAAUGCGUUUAUAAGUUCAUUAUUUUCAUGUUUAUUUGUUAUUAGAGAAAAUGAUCAGUAUCCCCCAUUGUACGUCAAAAUUAAUUAUUUCUUCUUUUAUGUUUUAAAACCUAUCAAAAUCUCCAUUGUCGUUUAAAAAAUUCUGUUAACUUUCAACUUUUUUUGUCUUUUACUAAUUUACCUCUGGAAAAAUUUUUAUUAAUAGGAAGUUGAAAGUUUAAUAGAAUUGUUUUAACGGCAAGGGAAAUUUUGAUGGCUUUUGAAAUAUGAGGGAGAAAAAGGAUUAAUUUACCAAAACAACAUUGUGGUUUUGUUGUUCAUUUACCCUUUGUCAUUCAAUGUAGUGGUUAACCUCUAGUAUAAGGGUGCUUGACAAAUGACAAGGGUAUGUAUUGUCCAAGUCUUUUAGUUCAUACAUAUUAUUAAUCAUGUAGUGAUAUUUUGGCAGGGAGCUACUGUUUGGAAAAUGUUUCGUAGCGUACGAGAUCAAGAGAAUACAAUGAAAGAAAUCUUGGAAAUGCUAAAAACCGUUGAAGAACAUGGCUUAGGAGAGAAGAAAUUUUUUCAUGGAGACAAGAUUGGCUUAGUGGACAUAGCAUUUGCUUCCAUUGUUUAUUGGUUGCAAAUCAUUGAAGAUGUAGCAGGAGUGAAACUAUUUGAAUCUCACAAAUUCACUCGCUUGCACGCAUGGUUUGAAAAAUUUAAAUGAGUCCCAGAAAUUGAAGAGAACCUUCCUAAUUGGGGUGAACUAUUGGUUUUUUUCAAACGUCGCCGUGAAAAGUUGGUGGCCUCUUCCUCAUUGCAUUAGCACAAAAUUUGUUCGUGCAAUUGUAUUGUUGUUGUCAAGAGGCCGCUCUUUGCUUAGUUUUUGAUUAUCUUGUGUGCUCAAUUGGGAGGCCGCCGCUUUGCUGGGUACUUUCAUAUGGAUUUGAGUAAUAAGAGGGACUUGACUUUAUAUUUAUGAAUUAUUGCAUGUAUUUCGUUAAUUAUUAAUGGACUACUAACGGUUAUGUAUUGUUUGGGCGGAAGUUUACAUGCUGAUAUAUACUAAUGACUUGAAGUAAAGUCAACUUGUUUGAACGAAUGGUAAUAUAGUUCUAAAAAAUAAGAAGAAAAGCUCCUUGUGGAAAAAGAUAGUUCUAGUAAACAUGCCCAAUAUUAAAGGGUAUUAUCGAAACUUAUAUUUUAAUGGUUAGAGCCAGCAUGUGAACAGUGCCCCAUUAUGAAAGAAUAAUUUUUUUUUUGCUAAGAAUAAUGAGCCAAAAGGGCUUUAGAGAUUUUUUUUAGAUCUAAUUUCUUGAGAGACUUCUUCAUCUUCUUCUUCCUUUAUGGUUAGGGUUUCUUUCUCCAUUUUAACACCACCAUGGAAAAUUUUAACCAUCUCAUCUCCCAAAGAAGCCUUUUCCCUUACUCUUUUCCUGGAAAACUCUCUAAUCUCUAUAAAACUCAUAUCUCCCUCAUGUCAUUAUUCCUCAUAAACAACCUUUAAUAAGGUUUUGUCGAUAUUAUAAUGCAAAUUAUGUAAUACUUCAUUUAUAUAGUGGAUUGGAGAUGAAUUACUCUUAUGGAUGUAGAUCAAAGGGUCAAACAACGUAAAAUCUUAUGUGUUCUUUAUUGUUUAUGCUUAUUUUCUAUUUAUUAGGAUGAUGAUAAUACUCAAAUCGUAUUUCAUAUAUGAGCUCAUAUAGAGGCAUACCACGAGCUCUACUGAGCUCCCCAUAUAAGCUCUCUAGUUAAAGCUAUCCUCGAAUUCGCUAGAGCUACUUCCUAAACUCUCUUGAGUCCCCAAAUCAACUCUUUAAACUAAAUCCCAUGAGCUUCACAGAGUUUACCUCCCAAAACACUUCAAUUUGCCUCUCAAAUUACCUCAGUUCACCUUCCAGAUUACCUCAGUUAUUUCUUUUAUCCCUAACAGCAGAAAAACACACCUAGAUUUUUACUAGCUCAAUCUCCUCUCAAAUAUAAAUUUAUUUAUUUAAAUUAUAUUUAACCUUGUUAAUGAUUCAAAUCAGAUCCUAGAGGAAAUCCGGUCAAAACAUGUAUCUAUGUAUAAUAUUUAACAUCACCCUAACGAUCAAUACGAGUGCACUUGGAUUUAUUCUUAGUAGUACACAAAGUGGAAAAAGCAUAACAAGCAACACUUGCACGCUCGAGGCUCAAUAUAAGUACGAACGUCAUAAUUCCAAGCAACAAACAAUGAUCAUCAGUACUAAUUUUUUCUGCAAGCCACCAAAUUGGAAAAGUACCGCGAAGUAAUUAAUUAACCACUGCGACUUGCCAGCUUAAGGUUAUCCAAUGCUGAGAGUUCAUUAUUCUUUGAGGUUUGGUUAUUGUAAAUGUCUUUUAGAGUAAUUGCAGGAUAGAGCGGAGGAUUUUCUUCUGAUAGCAACUCUUUAAGUGGACCAUAUCGUCUCGAGCAACUAUUAUUCAUGAAAAAACUUCCGAUUGAAAUUCUGGAGUCUUCCUUAUUUGAUAACACUCUAUGAUAGGCACUCUUGAACUUAUCGUUGGUAAUCAGCUGCAUAAACACGAACACGUUGGUAAUCAGCUGGAUAAACACACACUUCAUAUAAACCAUAAUUAAGUUAUCUGAUAGAGAUUCAUGCUCGGGUGUAGACGUUCACAUAAUUUUGUAAGGACGAUUCUUUCACAGUAUUGUGAAAGAAUGUGUCCGCACAAGAUUUAGUGCGAACGUCCCACUUGAGAAUUUUCAAUUUGAUGGAUAGUAUUUCUUAAUAAGUUAUCUAACACACACUUGCCUGCAUCAUGUAGCCUAAGUUUACAACUAGAGUUCCCGGAACAGGGGCAAUGCCAAACCAUUGAUCUUCGUGAAAGACUUGGAGGCCACCAAUUUGAUCUUGUAUGAGCACAGUGACAAAUCCAGGGUCAGAAUGUGUUGCUAUGCCGAUGGACAAUUAUGGUUGAGGGCAUUCAGGUUAGUAACCAUUCCCAAUAGUCAUUUCCUCUUCACAACCUAUGUCUUUCAGGUAAUUGGGGUCAAGCCCUAAAGCUUCGGAUAGAAGUUCAAACAGAGUGUCCCCUGUUUUCCACAUUAGGUUGUUGUAUGCGAUCAUUAUCUCUCUGCAAAUUAAUAAAGACAAAAAAUAAUCACUACUAAAAGAAAGGGAGAAUGACAUUUCGACUUUUAGAAAUUAUUUUUUUAUUGGGUUAACAACUAGAUGAAAUGAGAGUAAUAAAAACUUAUUAGGAACCCAAGUGAUGCAAAAAGUUCUAAGAAAGAUGCAAGUGUUAUCCACUGUAAAAGAAAUAAAAUCUAUUGGUCAUCGUCCACAUACCUGCAAGCUUCAGGCAAAUCUUCAGGAUUUGAAAAAUCGCGACCCACAACACAACUUAAAGUAUCUUUCCAAAAGAGGGUUGGUGCACUAUACAAAUUUAAAUUUGAACAAUAUUUAAUUUUUUUGGAGUAAUCACGAGAAUAAUAUUUCUGCUCAACCUCAACAUCUUGUUGAAAAAACCUAUGGAUCCCAUCAAUGGCCUGAUCCAAAUGCUUGUUGGGAUUCCAUGAUUGAUCACUUGAAAGAAACCCCACUUCUCACGAGCACUUCUAAUUUGGUCAAUUACCUGAGAACGCAAACUUGAAUCCCUGUGUAUUCUUUGAAGGUCUAUGAUAGGGAUGCUGAUUUUGGGGUCCCUGCAGAUUGGCUUAUCAUCAAACUUAUGUUUAGUGUGAUGAUCUUGAAGGAUGAUCUGUGGAAUGGUUGUGAUCCCAGCAUCUACGAGUCCCUUAACACCAGCUUUCGUGUCAUCAUAAGCUUUCAACUCGCUAACUCUGUCACAAGUAAUGCUUCCCAUUGCUUGGUGAAUUAUCUUUUACCUGGUGAAUUAUGAAGUACAAAUGCUGACUUGCGGGUGAUUGCUUUUGGUAUAUGCCGUUUAUAUGAAUAUGAUUGCUAGCUUGCCACGUGCAACAUGUUGAAAUAUAACGUUAGCAUGAAGAUAUGGAAAUUUAUAAAAUUUGAUUCUGCGUUAUUUAUCAUGAUUAAAUUAAUUAUAAAUUAUCAAUAAUAGUCAAUUCCGGGAACUACCAACUACUGGGUGGCACAUCACAAUAAUAAAUUAUCAAUAAUAGUCAAUUCUGCAUUAUUUAAUAUUUAUGUGGAUAAAAUUUCAAUUAGCUACACUACAUUGUUGUUUGAUAGUUAACGUUUCACCUUCUCCAUUUGUAAAUAUUAUUAUGGACUUAUAGUGUGGCUUAAAAGCUAGAUCUUAAAUGAAAAGAAAGCUUUAAUGGUGAAAUAAAAAUUUAAAUAAAUGAUAAAGAGAUUAAAGGUUAACCUAAUGUUAGCAAAAAUAAUUGUAAAAUAUACAUGUUUUAUCAUGUUAAUUGAUGUUUUUCCAGUAUGCACAUAAAAAAGAUCUAUUUUACAAUUGUUUCUGUUGGCGUUCGGGCAGAUUUUUUUUAGUCUAAUUAAGUAUAUCAUAAGUUAAUAAUAGUGCGUAUUUUAACUUUAAUAAAUUUGGCCACUUAGAUUUUUAAUUUUGACUCCUUCCCUAAUCAAUCAAGAAAAAGAAUGCUUUUCUCCAUAAAAAUUAAAAUAGAAAAUUCAGCAAGGACAUAACUGCGGAGAUGUUUGAUUCUGGAUUUAUAUAUCAAAGCAACAUCAAAAUUAUAAUACUUCCUUGUUACCAAGAAGAGAUAUAUUCAAGAGCACUAGCCUUAUAAAGCCUUAACAAUACUAAACUACCUACAUGGAAUCUAAUGCGUACAUGCAAUGCUUUCUAAAGUGAAACUGUCGCUUGAAAAUAGAAUUCAUGUUCAGCAGCCUCUCUCUAUCCGAGCUCCAAUUUUAUAACAAGGCAGCUAAAUAAGAUGAUUUAGAUGGCAUCGGCAUCUGUAGUAUCGUUUGUCUGCAGUCCCUCAUUAUCUACGAUCUGAUCGCUCCCUAUAGUAUUGUUUGUCUGUAGUCCCUCAUUAUCUACGCUCUGAUCGCUCCCUAUAGUAUUGUUUGUCUGUAGUCCCUCAUUAUCUACGCUCUGAUCGCUCCCUAUAGUAUUGUUUGUCUGUAGUCCCUCAUUAUCUACCCUCUGAUCGCUCCCUAUGUAGAGAAUCGACAAGAGCAAAUUGUAGCACACGUUCACAGAACUAAUAACUGUUAAACUCUUAUAGUACUUGUCAAGCCUACUAUCAUCCAAGGUUUCAGCAAAGUCGCCUUUGUUUGCCAAAAUGAAAAAGAUGUUAAAAAUGCUUCCUAUUCCGACGAAAAAAGAACUUAUUGCUGAUACAUGGUACUCCAUCCGUUCAGGAAAAUGAGAGCUCGAGUAUUCAUCACAUCCAUGCAAAGCAAGCCCUUCCAUAAGACCCAAUAGACAGAAUUGUGGAACAAGCCAAAACAUGCUCAUAUUUUCCAAUUGUUUGCUCUUUUCCAACCUGCGAACCUCAACCUGCCAUGCCACUACACAGCAAACUGUAGACAUCACCAUUCCAAUGAAUGUUCUCAAUACUUGAGCUUGUCUCUGCUUCGUUUCCGGAACAAAUUUGAAAAUUAAUUUUUUCGACAGAUAAGAGAUCGUCGCACGAAUUAUGGCUUCAAAAGUAAGUAGAAAGAUUAAGUAACGUUCAGAAAUCAUUUUGGCUCCCUGCUCAGGAAAAAAUGUAUUUCCCGCUGACAGAACCAAUCCAAACACAAUGAAGCUAGACCACAAUGGCAACAACUUAAGAAGAGAUUUUGACUCCCUGACCUGGGCCACAGUGCAAAGUGUGCCUGCCUCUUCUUGUUCUUUAGAAGUACUUGAUGUCUCUAUAAUUGCCGCUUUGUCUAUCCACCUGCAAUUCAAAGAAUUAGUUUAUUGGUAAUUUUUUAGGAAAAUAGAAAGCGACAGCUCAUGGUUUGGCAAAAUGAUCACACAGACGCUUUUAUAAAUACGCCCUUUUGGACAAAUCUUGGAGGUCGGUGUGACUAUUCCCGAACACAAAAGGGUAUUAAUGUGUCCAUAAAGAGGUUUAUAUAAUUAUUAAUAAAAAUAAGAGGGUCUCCCCGACAAUUUUGCCAGACCACGGGCCGGGUGUGGGUGUAUACAUGUUAGGCAUAUACCUGAGUAAUUUGAUUCUGGGUGACAAGUGUAAUACGUUUCCCUCAUCAUUACUGAAGAACAGCUCCGGAGAAAGAGGAUAAUUGAGAUGCUUUUUCUUCAGGGAGGUUUUAACAACGCGGAUUAUAGCAAAACGGUCAAUAGGAGGUAUUUCUGUAUUAUGAUAAAAGGGAAUACCUAACAACAGGAGGAUCAAACUGCCCCCCAUAAACAACAAUGUAAACAUGAAAGUCUUCUUCCGUGUCUUAAUAUUAUUUGCGUAGAAUGCCGCAGCUGUACCACAGCACCAGGCAAACCGCCACCACACUCUUUUCUGAGCCAUUACUUGAUCCUCAUUUGAAUUUUCUGUUCUCCCUCCUUCACCAUGUUGUCUUAAUUGAUAGGCAAGAAAUGGUCCCAAAAGAGGAGCCGCUCCAACUUCACCCACUGCUAACAGGAUAAUUCCUAUCAUGUUGAGUAACUCAAAGUUGGUUUCUGAAAAUUCUCUGGACGCUGUACAGAACAAUAGUCCCAAUGCCUGAAACAAAAAUUGUUGGAACUAAUUGUAUAGCAUAACAUUAUGAUCCUAGAAAUGCUUUUCUUAAUCAUUAUUAUAAUCAGAGUGGAGCCAAAAUGAAUUAAUGUCACAUUAAUUAUAACUUAUCUAUUGAGAUCUCUAUCAUUAUAUUUAUAGGGGUAAGGCUCCUAAUAUCCUCUUAUUACGGGUGUGUGUAUAUAUAUAUAUAUAUAUAUAUAUAUAUAUUUUAAUAUGCUGUGAAAUUUAACAUUUACUGCAAAAUAAUAAUUUUUUUAAUUUAGCCCAAAGUACUACAAAGUCCUGGGUCCGCCCCUGAAUAUAUAUAUUGCUUGCAAACCUAGGAUCAUAACAUAUGUUUUAAUUUCGUCUCUGUUUAGAAGUUUUGCAAAUUCAAAACAUAUUAACUUACAAGGAUGUAGGAGACAGUUGAAAAAAUGAGGAUUCUGAGAGGACGAAUGGCAUAACACGAAAUCCAGGCGGCAACAACCGUAAGAGUUGCUAAUAUUACAUCCUGAAUACUCGUAAAUAUUGCAGCUUUUUGAAAUGUGAAUACUUUUGAAUAUUCGGAGUCGGAGAAGUAAGUUAUCAAGACGCCCACUAUAGCCAAGUCUACCAGUUUGCGGCUAGGCUUAUCAACAAACCUGGAAUCAAAAUAAUCAUUAGAAAAAAUGUUCGUGCUCACUAAAAAAAGCAUACACGUGACGACUGCAAGAACAAUGUGAGAGAACUAUUGUCAUGUUUUUAUAAUUUAGCCCAACCUAAUCAAAGAUCUUAAGUACACCUCUCUUAACUGAAAUUAUUUUAGGGGAUUAUCUAUUUAGGAAUCUCAAAUUUCAUGAGCUCUUAAUACACACACUGUAGUGUUUUUGAGUGACAGAUUAUUGUACAAUCAACUCGAAACACUUGCCAAGAUCGCAAAUCAAACAACCAAGAUGUAACAAGAACCAACCCAGAACAAAUCACAGAGAACUAGGACUAUAAGAACUUAGCAGUAAAACAAGGAAAUUAACGUGGUUCAGCUAGCUUCCACUAGCUUACAUCCACGGGAAAACCAGGACCAAGUUUAUUGAUUUAUCAACCACAAUUACAGAGAAUCUCAAGAGCUGAUUACAGAGCUUUUCCAAGAAGCUUUCUCCUAAAACUUCUCUACCCACAUUAGCUCUCACACAUACGCUCCUGUUGCAACUAGAACCAGCUGUUUAUAACAGCUUCUUCAACGAACCAGGAUGAGCCCAGAAACUCACAUGAUUGGCAUUCGUGAUAAUAGACUCAUAACGAUCUUUCAAGGGAUGGCAAAACCCCGGGCCGGGUCCGGGUAUUGCAAUGACCGGACCCUGCCCGUGUAUUGCAAUGACCGGACCCUGCCCGGAUGCAACCGGUCCGGGUCCGGGCCGGGUUUUAAUCCGGGUAUCCAAAUUUUAUAUUUUUUUAAUAUUAUAUGUUUAUAUAUUUUAUAUUUUUUUGGUAAUUUUAUAAGUUUUAAAUUUAUUUCAAUAAAAUUUGACAUGAAAAUAUAAACUUUAAGUGUUUAAAACUUUAUAUAUGUAUAAUAAAUGAGUCAAAUAAAUAUAAAUAUUUAAAAUAAUAUAUAUUUUAUAAUUUUUUUUAAUAAAAUCCGGGUUCCGGGUUUAUCAAGUGAUGCCCAAGACCGACCCAGCUUCAUACCCGGGCCGGAUAAUACCCGGCCCACAACGCCCUAGUAUGGUCCGGGUCCGGACCGAGCGGGUAUUUUUACCACCUCUAGAUCUUUGAAAACAACUUAUUCGAGCACGUGAUUCUCUCGUCCAUUACUUAAACCAAAACGACAUUCAGACAGGUCGUUCCAGUAAUGAGAGAAUGCUGCUCUUCAAAACGCUCUGAUUUGCUUCACAACACAACACACACACAUACGUACAUACAUCAUCAUGUUGUUAAAGUAAUGAUGUUAGUAAAAUACAAAAAGAAUAUAGUUUUAAAUACAUUGGAGAUUCUAUCUUUUUUGUACUUUACUAACAUCGUGAUUAACAAAAUGAGGAUACCUUUAUUAAAGAAUGAUUAUAUAUAGAUAGUUUUUUUUUUUUCUCGUGAGCGUUCUCACAUAUUUUUUUAUGCAUACACACUAUUAAAUUGUAUGGUUUAAUAAAAUUAGUAUAGACAAUUAAACUACAUGAUUUUGUAGUGUAUUAAAAAUUAAUUCUAUUAAACCAUACAAUUUAAUAAUGUGUCUGUAUUAAAAAAAAACCAUAUAUAUGUAUACAGGUUUAUAUUCUAAAUAAAUACAUUUUUAAAAGAUACGAAUACCUAAGGCCCCACGUGCAAAAUUACCUGACAUAAAUGCAGCAGCCUUACAAAAGUAGACGUAAUAUCGUACCCAAGUCAUGAACCUGCUUUGAAUCUUCAACAACCGAGAAAAUGGAAACAUUGUAGUUUCUGAAACUGCUUCUUUUAUCAGCAAAUACUUCUACUUGUGACUUGUGAAUCCGGAGACAAUGAAGAUUUUGUAAUUAUACCAAAGUCUUCGCUAGUCUUCUAAAAAGGUAGUUUAUUCAAAUUAAAAAAUAAUAAGUCGCACUUCAAGACCACCUAUUGGUCACAUAAGUCUUUUUUUUCUUAUUUUUAGGGUUCUAAAAAGAUAGUUUAUUCAAAUUAAAAAAUAAUAAGUCGCACUUCAAGACCACCUAUUGGUCACAUAAGUCUUUUUUUUUCUUCUUGUUUUUAGUCUUCUAAAAAGUUAGUUUAUUCAAAUUAAAAAAUAAUAAGUCGCACUUCAAGACCACCUAUUGGUCACAUAAGUCUUUUUUUUUUCUUGUAACUAAAGGAUCCAGCUACGGUGCAACAGGUGCACCGUGCCCCUCUUUUUCCUUUUUUGACAGCACCCCUUACUUUCUUCUGUAUUUACAGUUUAUUAAAGUAAUUUCUUUUUCCUCUUUCUUUCACCCCUCAUCUUUACAAUCUUCAAUUUUUUUCCAUUUUGAAUUAAACCUAUAAUCAACCAAUUGCAAGCAAUAAGAAAGAAGUUGACAAGCUAUUUCUUUAUCACCUUAGGAUUCAUUUGCUCUAUAAUACAUAAGUAAUAAUGAAUUGAAGUUUUUAUAUAAAAAAAUCACAUAGAUGUAAUUUUUUUACACACACUAUUUAUCAUCUACAAUGAUUUUUUUGUCUUUUAUUAUAUAUAUUCUUCCCCUUUCUCCUCCGUAUGUCUUUCCAUUUUCUCUUUGAAUAAUCUAACCUAAGGCUUUCUAAUAAUUGGUUUAUUGUUAUUAUUUUUAUAAGUAAACCUUCUCUUUAUUAUGUCAAUAAGUUUAUUUUUUCAAGAAAAAAAAUUCGUAAAUGACCAAAAGUGAGAGCAUUAAUAAAAAUUCAAAACCUAUCUUAAUUUUUGUUGUCUUUGUUGAUGCAUCUCGCAUGUUUGAUCUAUUAAUUAUAACUUGUGAGAGUAAAUACUGUAAUACAAUGAUAAUAAAUUGAUGAUUAGUAAUUCUUACUAAGAGUAUUCAGAGAGAAAGAAGUUCGUGUAAAAUUUUAUAAACUUUGACUUUUCCAAAUUUUCACUAAACAAUAGGGAUUGCAUUAUUAAUAACUAAAUAAACACAUCCAUAACCUUGAAACUACAUUUGUGUUAGAUCCAACGGUGACAGCACAAAAAGACAAAAAGAGGGGUAUGGUGCACCCCUUGCACUGUAGCUGAAUCCUUUAGUUACAAAAUAAUGACUUACUGUACAGCUCAAUAAUUUUAGGUGGUAUGAAACACGUAUGAUGAGACGGUCAUAAUUACACUGUACCAUGAAUGAUCCUCAUUGAGUAUAUAAUCCCUUUCUUUUUUCAAACAAGAUUUAUGCUUUAAUUUUGGGAGGUUUGCUAAGUUCUUUCUUUUUGUAAUGGUUACGGAGACUGACAAUUUUCUAUUGAAGUUAUUUAUACAUGUAUUUCUUUUUCAGCAUGUAAUACAUUUAGGAAAUGAGUAAUGAUUAAGUACAAACACUUUUAGAUAAACAAUGUUGUACGAACUUAUGUGAUAUCUUUUUAGAAAAAAGGAUCUGAACAUCCUUAAGAUUUUAAAAAAUGGUCAUAUAUACUUUGAGUUUUCAAUAAGGAAUAUCAAGACACUUUUUGACUAUAGUAUCCUUAAUAGAUAAUAACAAAAAAUAUUGACUUUAAACAUUUUAAUAAAUAUAAAUAAAAUUUAAAUAGUUUGAUAUGUCUAGUAGACUAAUAAUAUUAGAACGUUUCUUAAUAUAUAAAUAAUUUUUAAAAGAUAAAUUAGUAUAUUUAUUUUAAUAAUAUAUUUUUACUUAUUAUAAAAAUUGUAAAUAAAUCUUUAGGUUAGAUAGAUUUUAAAUUUAAUAAAAUACAUGUCAUGUACUAAUAAUAUUAAAACUAUUUUAUAUAAUAUUGAAAAUAAUUUAAAUUUUAAAUUUUAAUAUUAUGUUUCGAUUUAUUUUGAAAUUUAGUUUAAUAUAAUUUAAUGUUGUAAAGUAUUAAAAUAUUUUAAAAAUAUUGAAAUUAUUUUAAAAUGUAUAUAUUGUUACAUUUAUUUUAAUAUUAUACUUCUAUUUAUUAUAAAUAUUAAAAAUAAUAUUUUAAUUAAAAGGGAGUUUUGGUGUCUCUUACUUAAAAAAUGGAGUGUACGUAAUUGUUUUUUCAAAUUUUCAAGGGUUUACAUGUCAUUUUUCUUACUUUUUUAUAAUCAGUUGAAUAAAAAAAAGUCAUCUGGCCACAUAAAUUAUUUCUAAUUUAUAUUUUCAAUUAACAAAUCAUAAUGUAUCAUAUCUAUUUGUAUAAGCAUUUAUGAACAUAAAAAAUUAAGUUUAGGCACUAGUCGGGUUGGAAAUCAACCCAUCCAACCCAUGUAUAGUGCUAGUUGGGUGAGUUGGACUUAUCUCGAAGACCCAUUUUCUGUCUUUGAAAUGUCAAUAUGAAAUUAAAAUAAUUAAAAAAUAAUUUAAUUGAAACAACUAAAAAUAGAAUACAAAAUUACAAAUAAUAACUAUCCCUCAAACUUCAUUGUUAAUAAAAAUAAUUAUUUGUAUAGGAUCCUAAUUACACCAUAAAAAGUAAUAGGAUGAAUUCAAGAGUUGGGUUUGAAAAUUACAAAUAAUAACUAUUCCUCAAACUUCAUUGUUAAUAAAAAUAAUUAUUUGUAUAGGAUCCUAAUUACACCAUAAAAAGUAAUAGGAUGAAUUCAAGAGUUGGGUUUGAAAAUUUUCAACACCUAGUAAAUAUAGUGCAUCUUCUCCACCCCUAUGAAAUUAGGGGUUGGCUUUCUACUUGAUUUUAAGUAGAGAAAAUGAUCAAAACUACCUUAUUGUUUUUUCAAACUAUAGGGUGAAUUUAAGAGUUGGGUUUGAAAGAUGCAAUAUGUUCAUAUUUAUAUAUAUGAACAUAUUGCAUCUUCACUAUCUUAUCCCCAGAAUUUUUGCACCAAAUCAUGGUAAAAGAAUAAAAAUUCGCAACUCGAAUCAACAAAGUAUUAUCACUAAGUUAUUCUGCAAGCCGCCAAAUUGGAAAAUGUCCCAAAUAAUUAAUUAACCGCAGCGACUUGACAGCUUAACUUUUUCCAACGCUGAGAGUCCUUCAUUCUUCCCUAUUGAGGAUUGGUUAUUGUAAACGUCUGUUGGAGUAACAUGGGGAUAGUGCGGAUGAUUUUUUUCGGAUAGCAACUAUUUAAUUGGACCAUAUUGUCUCGAGCAACUGUUAUUCAUAAAAAAAAACUUCCAAUUGAAAUCGUUGAGCCUCGCCUUCUUGAAAACACUCUGUGAUAGGCACUCUUGAACGCGACACUGGUAAUCAGCUGCAUAAACAUAUAAAAGAACACUGUAAUUAAGCUAUACGAUGGAUUCAUAAUAGUCAAAGUUGUGCAUAACAUCUACUUGCCUGCAUCAUGUAGCCUAAGUUUACAACUAGAGCCCCGGAAACUGGGGUAAUAUCAAACCAUUGAUCUUCACAAAAGACUUGGAAGCCACAAUUCGAUCUUCUAUGAGCAUAGUGACAAAUCCAGGGUCAGAACGUAUUGUUACGCCAAUUGUCAAUUUCGGAUGAGGGCUUUCUGGGUAGUGACUAUUCCUAAUAGUUAUUUCCUCUACAGAACCUGUGUCUUUCAGGUAACUGGAGCCAAACCCUAAAGUUUCAGACAAAAGUUCAAACAGAGUGAAUUAGCAAUUGGCGUUGUUGGAGAAAAAUCAGUUUUUAAAUUUAAAAAAAAAACUUUUUAGGGCCGAUCUCAUACAAUAUAUAAGAAUUCGUAAUCUAGAAAUCGUAUCUUGAAAAUCUGAGAAAAUGAACAAUCUUUGCUUUUUCCACUGAAGUGAAACUAAGCUCCCAGAUCACGAUCCGUCACCACCACGCCUGUUAGAUCAUAGUCUGUCACCACCACGCUUGUUAGAUCACGAACUAUCACCAAUGAUCUUCCAGAUUAUGACUCAGGUUUGAUCUGCAUUUGAUGUGUGAGUGCCUUUAUCACUACCAAUAGCAACUAGUAGGAGAAAAUUUUUCUCUCAAGAUUAGAGAGAAAAAUUCUUUUUCUCUGAUCUGUAUAAUGUGGUCUUAUAUCGUUUCAAGAGAAAAUAAGCCAUUUUAUAUCUUAUCUAGUGGAAACCCUAAGCUCUAUAUUUUCUAUUUUUUAAUUCUAUUAACACAAGACCCCUUACACAUAAGCAUAUUACAUGGAGCCUCCCACUAAAUAAUAUAUUUAAACUUUUAACCCAAAUAACUAGUUAUCUUACUUAUUAAUUUAGUAGCAGCGCAGUCAAUUAAAUGAGCUAACCCAGGGAUCAUUUGGGAACAUACAAUAGUGGCUACAAUAAUUAGGCAUGUAAUCAAACUAGCUCAAUUAAUUAAUUUCAAAUCUACUCCACUAAAAGAUUGGAACUGACCUCCAUAAUUGUAUGCUCGAAUAAUAAUUCAUCCCAAGCCACAUUGAUUUCUUUACUGCACAAUCCUUUAUACCACAUCAUUAAUUAAAUCGAUAUCUCAACUGUCCAAUCAAUUUAAUUACAUCUUGUUCCUCGAUUCUUACUGGUUUUCUCUAAUGAUCAUUUCAACAUACUAAAUAUGUCGACACACUCUGACAAAAGAAUUCUAUGAUCAAGUGCCGAAAACUCAUCAAGAGAUGUGUUGUACAAAUUCUAUAUUGUCAAUCUAUAACUCUAAUACUCAUAAUUGCUCUCAUCAAGAUACCGGGUAAUCUUGACUACAAGUAUGUGUCGUGCCCAUUGGUAAUUCAAAUGAAAUAACAAUUACAAUCAUGAAAUCAUAAUUAACUCAAGAUUAAGAUUACAGUAAAAUCAAUGUCUAUGAGAUUUAAUAAGUCUGACAGUAAUUACAAAGUUAAUUAAAUCUCAUAUGUGAUCAUGUUCAAUGUAGUCUUACUACAUCAAUAAAUUCAUACAUGAUUAAGACAAAUUAUUCAAUGAAUUCAUUACAGUCUAUACCUAAAUAAAGUGCCCAACUUUAUUUAUCAACUGCGAACUAAAUUUAUUUAAUCAUAAGAUAACUUGUAUUUAUGUCUUCUGUGAAUUCACAUGUUGAUUCUUGUCCAAAUUUAUUGAACUCGCAAGUGCACGAAUAUAUUGUAGAAUAGAUUAAUGGUGACGAAUGUCGAUUCCACGAGGAAGUGGAUUUUAAUUAUGUGUAGAAUUAAUUUUCUAUGAGGGUGGUUGGAUUUGUGGUGAAAAUGAUUUGGAAUAUUCUAAACAUUAAAUUAGAAUGGCAGGAAUAAAUUAAAGCGAAAUAUAUUGAAAUGAAGCACUUAGUUAUUUGGAUUUGCAUUAACAUGCACCAUGAGCUAAAUAUUCCUUAGUAAUGUCAAUUAAAUCAUGAGGGGGGUUUCUACUCCUUAUGAACCACACUCUAAUCAAUAUGGUGCUAAGGGCUUAUCGUACCAAAUAAUAAUAACCUUGUAUUAGGGAGUCGGUUAAACCGGUGCGGUAUCAAGACAAGAUUAUUACUAUUUAUUGACGAAAAGUCAAAACAUCAAUAAUAAUUAGAGGGGAAGAGAAAGUAAAUUUACCAAAUAAAGCCCAUGGCACAUGUUGAGACUUCACCAACCCAAGCUUGAAAGAAAAUUAGCUACUCAUAAUUGAACUAAGGGUAAAAUGAGAAUUUAUUAAAUACAUAGAAAAUACAAGAUGGAGAAGGAAUUACAUAAAAUAGAGCUCAAAAAUGAAUUCAGGGAUGCCAAAUUAAAGGGGAGCCCUCCUUUUAAUAGAUACACUAAGUAAAUCAUGGCCAUCAGAUUAAAAACAUUUUGGACGCUCAAGAUUGUGCCACGUCAUCGGUCAAUAGUACGCGGUUUGACCAUGCAGUUUGGUUUUAAAUAAUCCCGUGUAUUAUGCAUGUACCGUACGCACUAUUUUUGAUCCACUAACAUACUGCCACGUCAUUGAUCAACAGUACAUAAGAAUUUUGUCUAAUAAAAUCGUGACAUCUCAUCAGUCAAUGCCACAUCAUCGGUCAAUGCCACGUCAUUGUUCCGUAUAUGUGAACAGUGUCGUGAAUAGUAACACAGUACCGUAUCUGUGAAUAGUACCGUACAUGUGAACAGUGCCAUUUUCCUUUUAAACUCCUCCUAAGGUUUUCAACUGUCCUAAUCUCAAAAGUGAUGUCCGUUUUGCUGUAUGAUCUCUCGUUCAUUGUGAAAUGACCAUGAUGCCCCUAAGAUACAUAAAAUACUUAAUUAUAAUACAACACACAUAAUUAAAUCACAAGAAACUUAAAUACAUAAAAGUAGGAAUGUUAGUGAAACUUGAAGUGUAAAAUGACAAUUUUCUCCUUCAUAAAUAUACACUUUCGAACACUCAACAGUGAUCACAUAAAUACAUAUAAUAUGAUUAAAUGGACUUUAAUCAAAAUAUUAAUACAAUUAAGAUAUUUGAAUAAAAUACCUCAUUUAUUUUAUUAAUCAGAAAAAUUAUUUAUUAUAAUUAAAUAAACACAUAUGCUUUUAAAGAGCAUAUUUUCCCAACAGGCGUAUCUCAUAAAGCCAACUUCGGUGGUUGGGGUAUCCUGCUGUGCAACGCUGUAUCUCUUAUAGCCAACUUUUACGACUUGGACAAUUUGUAUUUUACCGAUUGUCCAUUAAAUUAAUUUGUUUUUGCUGAAAAUGAAUAUUAAAAAAAGAUUAAAAUAAAUAAAAUUAUAAAUAAUUAAAAUCACUGAUUGUCCCAGACCACCAAUAAAACCUCUAAAACUAAAAUUAUAAGCUCCUCUGUAAGAUCCACCAUUAUAUUUCUGAUUACCACUAGCAUUCUUUCAAGGAUUAAAAUGGUUUUGAGUUACAUUAGCUAACAAGUUAUGUGUGACAUCACUAGCAAUUUUACCUCUUGUCUGUUCAACUCUAUUCUCCUGAUUUAGCAGUAAAGAAUAAAAUUCAUCAAGACUGAUCUUAUCAACUCCAGCUAACACACUAAUAACUAAAGAUUCAUAAUCAAAUGAAUCUAGUCUAGUCAAAAUAUAUUGAACAAAAUCACUUAACUCAACAGAUUUUCUAGCUAAAGCCAGUCUGUCAGACAAUCUCUUCAUUUUAACAAAGUAAUCAAUCAUAGACAUUGAUCUUUUUUUGAGUGUUUGAAUAUGCAUCUUAAAGGCAUUAUUCUAGCUUGAGAUUGUAAAGUAAACAUACUUGUGAGUGUAUCCAAAAGCUCUUUAGCAAUGGAGCAAUGAAUGAUUGGAGCGAGUAGAUUUUGCUGAAUAGAUGACAACAUCCAACUCAAAACUAAUUGAUCUGUCUUCAUCCAGGCUGUGUAUGCUGGAUUGACCUUUCGAUUUUUAGUACUAGUUGAGGACCAACUUCAGUGCUAGCUGGUGUGAGAAAUUACUCCGGACGAGUUUGAUCACCAUUAAUGAAAUUAUCCAGAUCGUUUCCUUUGAUCGAUGUUAAAACCUGAGUUUGCCAGACAAUGAAAUUAUUAUGAUCUAGCUUAACAGGAUUGAUAAAACUAUAGGAUCCAGAAAAUUGAUUAGAACUCACCAUUGUAGGCUCUGAUAUCAUGAUAGAAUUUGUAAUAUAUAUGUUUGGAAAGCAAGAAAAUUAAGGAGAAAAAGAUAGAAAGAAAAGAAGAAGAAUUUAGAAUAUGUUAAUUGUUCAGCACAUUACAAAUGUGAUUAUAGCCUUUGUAUUUAUAUUGAGUGAAAUGCUUAACUAUAAUUUGUUAUAACUGGAAUACGUGCUAAACAGUUCGUUAGCCAGAAGGCUGAGAUGGCUAACUAAUUAUUCCACGUCAGCAAGAGCACUCGUGUAUGGUCCUCAUCCUUACUGUAAUUAUCAUACUCUGUAACACUUCUUCUACAUCUUCUUGCUCUUCAGGACCAAGUGUACUUCGUGGGUCUAUAAUUGCUGCUUUGUCUAUCUAUUUGCAAUUCAAAGAAUUAAUUUAUUGGUCAUUUUUUUAGGAAAAAAGAUAACGAAACAUAGUUGUUUGGUAAAAUAGUCAUGUGAACUCUUUCUUCAAAACAUAUAUAAAAACAAACCUUGGAGAUCAGUAUUGUCUAUGUGAUAAUUUCUAAAAAUAAGAGGUUUAACUGACAAUUUUUUCAAACCAUGGGAUGUUGGUAUAUACUCUUUAAGUAAGUACCUUAGUAAUUUGAUUCUAGUGACAAGGGUAAUUCAUUUUCAUCAUCAUUACAGGAGAACUGAUCUGCAAAAGAAGGAUAAUUGAGAUGCCUUUUCUUCAGGGCAGCUUUAAAAAGACAGAUUAUAGCAAAACCGUGAAUAAGAGGUAAUUGUUUACUAUGAUAAAAGGGAAUACCCAACAGCAACAAGACCAAACUGCUCCCAUAACCAAUAUUGUGAACCUCAAAGUCCUCCGUCAUGUUUCCAGAUUAUUUGCAGGGAAUGUUACAACCACAUUACAACACCAGGCAAGCUGCAGCUAUACUUCUUUUUGAGCCUUUACUUAUUUCUCAUUUGGAUUUUUUGUUCUCCCUUCAUCACCAUGUGCUCUUAAUUGAUCGACAAGACAUGGUCCUAAAAGAGGCCCCAUUCCAAAGUCACCCACUGCUAACAAGAUCAUUCCUAUUACGUUGAGCAGUUCAAAUUUAGUUUCUAAGAAUUUACUGGACGCUGUAUAGUACAAUAGCCUUAAUGCCUCCAACAACAAUAGUCGGAACUAAUUGUAUGGCAUAACAUUAUGAUCCUAAAUAUGCUUCUUAAUCAUUACUAUAGUUAGGAGCGGAACAAAAUUGAGAUUUAGGGGGCCAAGUGUAAUUAAGGUAAUUAUUUCAGGAUUAGAGAGUAUUAGUUAUUUUCUGGGGUUAGGGGAUGGGGUUCACGUUUAUGAAACCACCAUAUAAAGAAAAACAACUAGUUUGAAAGUUGAAAUUACAAAUUUAUAUAGUGUGAGAUUAUUUCAACCUACUAAAAUAUUUGUUAUUUUAAAGGCUAAUGAGCUUGCGGCUUUGAAAAGGUUGGAAUGUUAUUUGGUUGGAGAGGGACUCGGUUUCAACUUUAGCUUGUCUUACGAGUACCAAAUUCAAGCCGCCGUAGCAUCUGCAUAUCAUAUAAUUGAAUUGUUUGAGAUUUAUUCGUGGAAUACACUUUGCUAGUUUACACAUCUAGAGAGAGGGGAUUCAGUGGCUGAUAGUCUUGCAAAUUUGGAGUUAAAUCUUAAUGCUCAUAAUUGGUGGGAUAAUCCUCCUAUUUCAAUUCGUCAGAGUUUGCAUGAGUGUAUGCUUGGGAUAUCCCUAAAUAUCAUUUCAAAUGAGUGUUUUUGCAUUCUUUCUUCUCCUUCUUUCCUUAAUAAAAUUGAGUAUCAUAAAAACAAAAACUACCAGAAUGCUUAAUAAAUGUAUUUAUUCAAUAAAUUCAUUUAAAAAUUUAAAUUAUUUUAUUUUAUUUUACCAACCAAUUUUUAGUAUUCAAUAUGUCCUUAUUUGAAAUUCACAUAAUUCUUUCAUCUUUCUCUUUCAAGACUUUUAGGCUUUUAAGGCUCUUUUACAUUCGUGUCUCCCUAAUAUUCUAUUUUUCACUAUUUCAUAAGCACAUCUUUCUUUAAAAUUGUGGGCAUACUAUAUAAUUUACGUAUGUACGUAAAUUAUAAAUAAAUAGAUUUUUAAACGAUAUGAUUACCUAAGGUGCCAUAAGCAAAAUGUUACCUGAGGUAAAUGCGGCAGCCCUACAAAAACAGAGGUGAUGUCUUACCCGUCUUUUGAACCAAUCCUGAAGCUCCUGAGAACAUGGAAACGCUGUGGCUUCAGAAAUUGCUUAUUUUAUUUGCAAAUAUUUCCACCUGUGAAUCCUGAUUCCUGAUACCGUGGAAAUUUGUGUGGGCUCGAUAUACCACCUUAUUACGUCAAGGUAGUGCAUUCGAACAAUAAAAGUUUAUUAUUUUGAUAGGUUUAGUAGGUUUAACGUGGGACCCCACUUAUUUAAUUAAAAAAUAAUAGAUAUAAAAAGUAAUAGUACUACUUCAUCACCGACUGAAUUAAAAAAUAAUGAAUCUUACUUCAAUUGUCUUUGAGACUUAACUAUCGUGGACAGACCGUGGAAGUCUACCUCCUUAUUUUUAAGUACAAAUUAAAGAAUGAAUUGUACUUACUAACAAGCCAAAAUCAUUUAUUGCACAGCUAAAUAUAUUUUAGAUGGUAUAAAUGACCAGCAAUAUAUUGCCAGUUGGGUGCACAUACAAGAUCAUAUUUGGCUUAAGUAUUAUAAAUUAGGAUAAUGCCUAAGAUUUAAACCUAAGUUCGGAGAAUGUCUAAUCACAAAACACAUUUUUUUUUUUUUUGAGGAGAACUAUUGCUUUUUAACUCUCUCAAAUAUUCGAGGGAUGCCAACUCCCCUUUUGAAAAAAAAGACUGUCUUCGCUCAAGCUCUGAAGCUCCAAGAAAGAAAAUUUAAAUUAAACCCCCUACAAUAGGUCUGCAGGGACUCGAACUACUUCGAGCACUUGUGAGAGAGUGGCUCUAGCCACUUAGGCCAAGCCCUAGUGGUUCACAAAACACAAUUAUAAACACUAUAAAAUCUAAAAUUGAAAGGAGAAUAAAAGAUUCUACACAUUAAAGUCCUAUGAAAAACUAUAAAAAUUUUAAGGGACUAGCCUACCCGUCUUAGUUAUUAUAAAUAAAAACUACCUUCUAAUCAAAAGAAAAAUCCAGUACAGUGCCUGCAACAACGACAUACACUACCACUAGUACCACUAAACUAUUACCAACGUCACAAAACAACUCAAAUAUGAAUAUACAUCUUAAACAAUCACUGUUAUUCUACAAAAAUAGAGUAAAUCAUCGGCGGUUUAAUUAACAUUUAUUAAGGGCUCAAAUAAUAUUUUACAAAGGCUAUAAAGAGAGAAAAUUUUCCAUUGGGGGACUUUAAUCACUUGAGUCCCUUUAGGGCUUGAGAGUAAAACAAACAGCCAAGACAAUAUAUAAUAACAAAAUGAAUGAUUAGAAGAGUCUAUGAAUAAUAAAGCCUCGUAAGCAUUGUGGAAAAUUUACUGGGAUAUUUAUCCAUUUUCAUUGGCAACAGGUCAAUAAUACAACUGGCAACUUCACUCACAAAAUGCGAAAAUCCAAUUCAAUAACCAGUUAACCACAAAGUAAUGGACUUGCAUGCCACAUUUCAAGUAUAUGAAGCAUAUAUAUUAGAAAAGUUGACAAAACCCAAAUUAUCACUUAAUUAAUCGGCAUUUAACCCCUCUCAAACUACAAGGGGGGAAAAAAGAACUUACAAAUGUGCAUGUGAAGAUUGUUUAUCUGGGCUCAUUUUGUCAAAGUCAUCUUCGUCAAUUCGAUCUGUUUUGAUUUUGGGCUUUCUAAUUAUAUAGCCAGUUUGAGCUUCUAACAUCCCUUUAAAAUUCUUGUGAAGUCCUACUGUUGCAUUUGUAACACUUGCUUUUAAGAAAUUAUUUAAAAAGACAGAAUAAUAUGAUAGAGUUAAUUAAAAUUUAACAUACUUUUUUAAAAUAAAAAAUCUAUCAUUAGGUAAUUUAUUUCUUCAUUGUCUCAAAAUUAUUUGAGUUUGCAUAAGAAAUUUAUUAUAUCAUAAAUUAGGAUUGGUGAUGAUACAGCCACAAACUCUUGUACAAACUUAUCUUGUACAAAUUGAUUUGACAUUAAUUCAUUGGUUGAAUGAAAACAUAAAAUAAUAAAAAUAAAUAAUGUGCGUCAAGAAAUAUUUAAUUCAACCAAUUUUAUCAUACCACAUCAGUUUAUAUAAAAUAAAUUUAUACAAGAGUUUGUGACUAUAUUAUUACUCAUUAGGAUUUAAAGAUGGGAUAGUUCAUAAUUAGCAGGUAUAAAGAUAUUUUAAUCGAGUUAAAUUCAUAAUUGUCCUUCUCUAGCAGUAGAACUAUGUUCACAAAAAAUGCGGAUUUACAAGGAUUUUAAAGGGGUGUGAAAAGCAUUAAUUACUCUUACACGACAUCACCCAAAUAAUCAAUUCAAACGCACUCGGCUAGAUUUGUUCCAAGAUUAGACCUUUUGACACCCCUCAAAAUUCCUCAUAAAACCCCUUGUUAAUAGAAGUUACUUAAAUAAUCAAAGAUAAAUUAAUUCAUUUCUUACUUUAACUAGAAAUCCGAUUAAACAAUUAAAAAAUUUCUAUUAAAUUUUUUUUCACCCAUCCCAUUUCAUAAUUUAUAUUUAUAUUUAUAUUUUAGUUUUUAAUUUUUUAAAAACUUAUAAGAGUUUAGAAUUAUGGAGAUAGAAACUAUAUAAUAAAAAGAAAAUAAUUUAAAUUUUAAGAAAUUUUAGUACUUUAUAAAUAAAACUUAAAAGAAAUAUUCAUUUAGAGUUGGUAAGAUAAUUGAUUUUAAUAUAUGAAUUUGUAUUUUAUAAAUUAAACUGUGAUAUUUUAAAAAAUAAAUUUAAAAGAAUAUUAUAAGAAUUUUAACGAAGUGUUAAAAACUCCACCCUUAUCUCAAAGAGUUAGUAUGCAAAAGUAAAAACAUAAGCAAUACCCGUUAACACCAUUGGACCUUUGACCUGGUGAUAAAGAACCUAUUGGGGGCACAGGUUCAAGUUUUUGUUUUAUUUAUCCAAAUUGAGUGAAAGUAACAUCAUUGAAUCCUAUAUUACAUAACUGCAAAAUCAUAGAACUAAAAAAUUUCGAAUUAAUUCAAACAAAUAAUACAAGGGCAAUCUAGAAAUCAUAUUAUCUUGAACUAUUACUUUAUCAACUUUAAAUGAAUACUGCAACUUAAGUCCAAAAUCAGUACCAAUAAAUGAGACAUGGACAGCCUUAUUAUGCUGCUCUUGUUCUGUUUUCAGCAUAAAAAGCCAAUUCUGCUGUUCUUAAACUGUUUCUCAACAAGAUGGAACAUGAAGUUGUAUUCAAUGACACAUGGACAUUUCAUGAUUAUAAAAAAAUCUAUUUACUUCAGCUAACCUCAAGGAAAUAAUCUAGUAUUGUAGUCAGUGAUGCAUAGAAUAUAUUAAAUGAGAACAUAUUUUUCUAUAACAACGAAAAAGGAAUUGCUAUUAGAGCAGAGUACAUCAAACGGAAAGAUUACUCACAGUGAACACUGGAACUUGUGUGCCUUGCCUUCAAUUCUUUUCAAUUUAGAUUUGUUCAAGAAUGUGCAAUUGGUAUCAGCAACUUUGGGUUGUAAGAAUAGAGACAGCAAACAACUAUCAAAAAAAAAAAAAUGUGGAACUUAGUUUGAAGAAAUAUUGUGGAUCAUAUCAAAUGCCAAAUGUUGGAUAAUCUUUUCCAAAUGUUGGAUAACAAGAAAAGGGAUGCACACAAGACCGCUGACUGAAAACAGAAAUAAUUGGACAAAUAAAGCCCAAACCACAACUCAUCCUAAUCUUUAUGUUACUAAUGGAAGCUAAAAGCACAUAAGUCAUCAACUAUUUACAUUUUCUGAUAGAUACGGAUGCUUAAUACUUUCAUCAUGAUAUCCAGAAACAAUAAAAUUAAGCUAGUACAAAGAUAUCUAAAUGAAGAUGAUAAUAUCAUAGGCAAAAUAUGGUCCAAUGGAUUAGGAAAAUCAAGCUAAGGUCAUUUUUUUAUACUAAAUGCUUAAUUAAAAAGACAUCAUUAUAUGUUUUAUACAUGCACAAAUUGUCAUUUAUUUGAGGCAUGUCUAAUAUUUAGUGGAGUGACAAAUAUACUUGAAAAUUUAUAAAAAUUAUCAAAUAAUAUGUAAGAAAUAUAGUUAUUUUUGUUGUAAUAUUAAUGCAAUAAAUUUUUAUCGUAUCAUAUCGGCAUGUUUAAAGAGGGAAAAAAAAAACUCAGAGACUCAAAAACUCCAAACUUUAAUGUAUAGCUGGCAUUUAUUUGUAGGCUCAAUUGAAGUACAGAAGUCACAAUUCCAAACAACAAACAAGCUAUCAUUACUAAUCCACCAAAUUGGAAAACAUCCUCAAUUAAAUUAACCACCGCGCCUUUCCAGCUUAAGUUUUUCCAACGCUGAUAGUCCUUCUGUUGAGGAUUGGUUAUUGUAAAUAUCUUUUAAAGUAAUUGCAGGAUAGAGCGUAGGAUUUUCUUCGGAUAGCAACUCUUUAAUUGGACCACAUCGUCUCGAGCAACUGUUGUUCAUAAAAAAACUUCCGAUUGAAAUCCUUGAGCCUUCCUUUUUUGACAACACUCUGUGAUAGGCACUUUUGAACUUGUCAUUGGUGAUUAGCUGCAUAAACACACAAUAAAAAAUUCCACUAUAAUUAAGUUACAUGAUGGAUUAAUAAUAGUCAAAUUGAUACAUAACAUGUACCUGCCUGCAUCAUGUAACCUAAGUUUACAACUAGAGCUUCGGGAACAUGGGUAAUUACGAUCUGCAGUUUCCUAAUUUAACUCAUGCAUACGCGAGGCUUUUGUUUACCCUAGUUUUUAGUAUAAAAAGAGGCACGCAUCACAUAAUACGGCGGCAAGGAAUUAUCAUUAGAAAAAUUGGAGAGAAAAAGAAGAAGAAGAUCAUAAUUCAAGGGAACGGCUGCAGCAUCAUUGAAGAAUCCAGCAGAGUUAUUUGGAUUCACUUUUUGCCGUUCUCGACUUAUACCUUUCUUCUUUCUCUAACUGAUCUAAUGUAUUUCAUGAACAAUAUGUUGCUGAUUGUUUAUCUCUUUCAGAAUAUGAACUAAACUUGCUUGUAUUUGAGUGACAAAUAAUCUAAUGGGUUCUUGACUGUUCUUAUGAGUUGCUAUGUCAUGGCUGUAGCAUUUUACUCUAGUAGCUAUUAUUAUAACUGUUAUUUUGGUUGACCACCCAUUUAAUGGUUUAAGUUAAGAUAGGACUGUAAAAGGGCAUGUCUUAGUGGAUAUUAUUAGAGAAAUACUUUAUCUUAAUUUAAGUUUCCUAUAUUAAGUUUAUCUUGAAUCCCAUAAGGACCAUACUUGAAGUUAAGAUUUGUGAUAAACUAGACAUAAGUAUUCACCUUGUAGGGUGGAGAGAAUGGAUGUUCAUAAUGCCAUGCCAUAGGUAAAAUAGCAACUGGUCAUUGCGAAGAUGUUUACGAGUAUGAGACUUCCAAUAUGCGAUAGCUGAGGAUGCAAAUUAAAUUCUGCCCAGUGCUAUAGAAAUUGUUGUAGCAACUGGUGUUAACUUGAUGAAAAGCAGUCAGCCUAUAAAGAGAGUUUGAUCAUUCAACUACCUUAUUCUCAUUUGAUUCUUCGACGCAUUUUAUUUAAUUUGUUUCAUUACUGCAUUGUUUAACUUUAUUAUCUCACAAUUAUCAAUUUCAAUAGUAACCAACUUUACAUUUGUUAAUUUAGGAAUCAAGUUAGAUUACACUAUCGUAAUUGCUGUAGCAUUUCUAGUAACAUCAAUCCCUGUGGAGACGAUCUUGAAUAUUAAUCACGUUAUUACUUGUUGUGUAUACUUGCACAUUAGCAUAAAUAGAAUUUGAUAAAAAAUACCAACAAUGAGAUAGGGGUAAACUUCAGGAUGUGCUGCAGUUUUUAAUUGUUGUGCAGAUUCUUUUGAUUCCUAUCUCUAGUGGAGAACCAGAUGUGAUUUUGUGGGACCUUUCUCCUGAUGGUAGUUUUUCUUUGAAGACAACUUCAAAUAUUGUGCAUUGGACAAUGCCAAGUGAUGAGGCUUUUUUUGUUAUUUGGCAGCGACAUAUCUUUUCUUGGAUAUCUUUUUUUCUCUAGAGGUUGUGACACAAAUUCUUGACCACAGAUGAUGCCUCAUGUUCGGGGGAUUUCUGCAUAGUUUCUUAGUAUCUUUGCAGUUGGGCUUAUGAGACUUCUAGGUAUUUUCUUUCUUGAUUGCCCUCGAUUUGCGCUAUGUUGCUUUUUUGUUCCCUCGUACUUUAUUUCUUAAUUGGUAGUGAUGUGCCCUUUCUUGGAGCCAUAUUCGAGUUCUUCUUCCUUGUUUCAUUUUGUGGCGAGUUUAGAAGGCCUGUAAUGCAUUGAAGUUUGACUCAAUGGCCUUUUUUUUGUUGAUGUUGUUAUUUAUCGGGCAAUGUUGGAUCUUAGGCUUGCCAAUUCUGCCUUUGGUCUUAAACCAUCCCAACUGUGAGGAGUUCUAGGUUCUCGAUUUGCAAAGUGCUUGAGAGUUGUUGUUUCAUCCAGGAGGCUGAUUCUUUUAGUUUUUGGUUGUGGUCACCACCUGGGGUGGUGAAGCUGACUAUUGAUGGUUGCUUUAGGAGUAAUCCUAGGAUGGCUGCUUCAGAUAGUAUUUUACGUGAUGAUUAGGUUGUGGCUUUGGCUGCUUUUGGUUCCUUCCUUGGGUGCUAACUGAUCUUUCAUGCAGAAUUCAUGGCUGUUUUUGAGGGGUUAGAGUUGCUGCUCAGCUCCAUUAUUCUGUGCUUGACGUAGAGUCGGACUCAGCCAUGGUGGCUUCUUGGAUUCUUUUCUAAGGCCUUGUUCAUAUAGACUAUACCUAUUCUUUGCGUCGAGUGUGUAGUUUGACAUUUUCUUCUACUUCAUGGUUAGUCAUGUGCUUCGAAAGGCUACUUCUACUACUGAUUUCUUUGGCCUACACUCUUUAAGUUCAUCGGCGUUUCUUGGGUUCUCAAGAUAUCUCUGCUGGCUUAUCUAAUAAUCUUCGUUUGAAUUGUGGGUAAUUUAACAUAUCAGGCAAUAUAAUUGCUUAUUUUUGUGUUCUAUUUUUUAUCUUGUAUUUUUCACUUUUUCAUUCUUAUGUUCUUGCAAUUGCGGUUUUGAUUUAUAUUCACCUCCUUAUAUAUUUGAUUCAUUCUAUGAUUUAUAUGAAAGAUAGGAGUCCCACCUAAUCCUACCUUUUUGGUGGUUAAAAAAAAAAAGAUUAGGAAUCAAACCUAGGUCAUCAAGGUGAAACAUCAAUCAGGUUGUAAAUUUAACAUAUGAACGUAAAAGCUUAACAAAACAUUUGAAGUUGCUUGACAGCAUAGAAAUACAAGCAAAAAGAGAUGCUAAACAACACAAAAUUUUGAUUGGGUGGGAGUAUUGUUCAUGCUAGCAUAAUAAUGAGGUGCCUGAGAAUACCUAUGACUUUCUUGAUAAAUAAUAUCAUCUAAAAGGUUAAGAAUCACAGAUGAUUGUCCACGUAUGAACAAAUCUGGCUCCAAAUGUGAAAUGUAUUAAGAUUUUCAAACAUUUAAAUUAAUAGUUAAUAAUUUCGGACAAAGGAUACUUGGAGACCCUAAAGUUCAUUGAUUCUAUAUUAAAAGACAACACCGUUACUAAAAUUAUAAAUUAUAACAGUUAAACCUAAACCUACGUCGUUUAGCAAUUUACAAAAGAAAAAAAAUAUAACAAAAGCCAAUUGUUGGAGUAGCAACAUGCCAAAGAGAAAACCUCAAGCCAUGUAAUAUCCUGUAUCAACUAAAAAGGAACAAACCACCACCCUCAAGGCCGUCGCUGCACUAACGCUGGGCCCGAUUUGAAUAGUUAGAAGUUGUAACAUUAUUUAGGGAUUGAGGGUAAAAUUUUGGACUUUGAUUUAAUAAAAUUGAUUUAUAUGAGUCCCAAUAGAAAUAUAAUAAUAAAUAUAUCAAUACAAUUAUAAUAUGUUUAAAAGAAAAAAUUUAUUUUCACACAACAAAAAACACAACCUUUGGAUGUGGGAUGUGUCUAAAAAAUAAUAGGGUGGAAAUAUUAUCACCCUCAAAUUAGAUAUAUAAAUGUUUAAUGUUUUACUCUCAUAAUUUUCUAUUUACUUUUUUGAAUAUUGUUAAGAGAAAGAUAGAAGUUAAUAUAUAGACAAAUCGAGUCCCUUAUUUUAUUAUUCAUAUCCAUAAAAAGUAACCACUAUGCUAGUCCCCCGAACUUAGCAUAAGACGGUAAUUUAAAAAAAGAAAAAAAAAAGAACGUUUCUAGACACCAAAACGAAAGCAAAACAAACACAAAGCGAGACAUACAAACAAAUUUUAUGCUACUGCAUUCAAGCAGAAGCCAUCAACUGUUCACGACGAAGUUUGAGAGCAACCAAUAGUUCAUCCCGAUUAGGAAGAUUUUCUUCAAUCACAGGGACUUGCUUGAAAGUUUCAAUCCAGGCAUGCAAGUGAGGGAAUUUGUGUGAUUCAAAUAGUUUAGCGCCCACUAUAUCUUCAAUGACUUGCAACCAAUAAACAAUUGAACCAAACGCUAGGUCCACUAAGCCAAUAUUGUCUCCAUUGAAAAAUUUCUUCUCUCCCAAGCCAUGCUCUUCAACUGUUUGUAGCAUUUCCAAGGCUUCCUUCAUUGUGUUUUGUAGUUCUUGUCCAGUGCUACGAAACAUUUUCCAAACAGCAACACCCUGCCACAAAUAUUUUACAUCUGAUUUUAUCACCGACAUGAUUAAUUAAUAAUAUGUAUAUAAAAGUAAAAAAUCGUUGGACGAUAUGUACACGUGUCACAAUAUCCUUUAAUUAGAGGUUUAAUAAGUUAAUUAAGAGAGUUCAACCACUGAGUUGUAAAAUCCUUUAAUUCACUUUCUCUCAAUGCUUCAAAAAUCAUCAAAAUUCCCCGUGAAGUUAAAAACGGUUGUGUUAACUUUAACUUAUUACAUCUUUUCAUAUUGAAGGAUAAAACAGUGAAGACACCAGAAAUUGAAAGUUUAGAGAACUUUUUACAAAUAAAUAUGAAGGAGACCCCUGGGUGGCUGGGCUCGACUGGCUAUGAAUUCACUUCCGCCAUCACCCGAGUUUGAGUAUAUAUGGAGAGUAAGAGUUAGUGUUUGGUGGGUGGAUUUCGUUAUCCUCGUCACCUCAUCUAGAUCUUAAAGUAAAUAAAUAAAUAAACACAUUUGAAAAGAAUGAACUUAAUCAUAAACGUGUUUGCCAGAGUUGUGAGCGAACCUUGUCUUCGGCGAAUUUAAUCCAGAAUCGAGCAAGAGCUCUAUCAUAAGGAUUAUUUGGCAUCAAGGGAUUCUGUGGCCACGUCUCUUCGAUGUAUUCGAGAAUAACCAUGGACUCACAAACUGGUUUUCCGCCAUGGACAAGCACUGGGAUCUUCUUGUGAACCGGAUUGUGCUUCAAAAGCAAAGCACUUUUGUUUGAGAGAUCUUCUGCAACAAAUUCAUAUGGCACGCCUUUCAAUUUCAGAGCCCAAAUUACCCUGUAAACAAAUGGACUCAGCAGGGUUCCAUGAAGCUUCACUUCAGCCAUGAUAAUUCUAAGAUUGAAUUUGAAUUAUCGGUUUUUGUGAUCGAUGUUGUGUAUGGCUGUUAACUCAUUACAUAUGUUUCUGAAUUUAUAGUGAUUUAUGGUAUGCACUUUCUUGAGCAGAAAGCUUCAAUUUUCCAUUAAUAAAACGAUUAAUGAUGAAUUCAAAGAACUGGUGCGAUGACUUUAAUUAAAUAUUUUUUUACGCUGUGUGCAACCGCAUUUUGAGGUUAAUUUAAAGGAUAUUAUUUUCUCCUGAUCAAAACUUUUAUAUAAAAAAAUAAUUAUGUGAUUGGUAGUUAUUAAGUAAAAAUAAAAUAAAAAAUAAAUUUUGAACGUAAAUAAAUAAAAAUCAUAUAUGUUAUAAAGAUUUUUUAAAACUCAAAUAAGUGCACCCAAUUCCUAAUUUAAAACGCUAGCCAAUGAGAUCAAUAAUUUGGUCAACCAGUCAGAGAUAACCAUACAAUAAUUAAUCAAAAAUUUGCCAUUUGUUUUACAUUUAAGACCUUUGCGUCAUGCAUGAUGAUCAAUUGAUCAUGACAUGGAUCAAUUAGUCAACAAGACAUUUGCCUUUUGUGCAUGUAUCCACAUUGGACACAAAUAUAAUUUGUUAUAAAAAAAUUGGACUAAAUUAUUUUUUAAUAUAUUUUUUUAAAAUAAUACAUCUGAUCCUAGAGGGCCUGUUAUUUAGUUCGUAAAUCUUAUAACAGGACCCAUGAUUUUUUUUUUUUUUAAAAUCUUAUGGGUCCCCUAUUAUUUAAUUUGUGGAAUUGACGGAGGUAACUUACAAUUUCAUUUUUGUAAUUUACAGCUUUCAAUAAAUUCAGAUAAUAUUAGGCGGUAAAAGUCGGCCAAGCUGGAGGAGUAGAUCUAUAAAAUUUGCUAGCACUUUGCACUAUCUGUUUGGUGCCCAGAAACACACAUAUAUAUCAUCCACUUUUUAUUUAACGCUGGGUUUUUUUCGACCCAUAAUAAUUUCUCUUUCCACAUCAACUUUUUAAUAAAAACUUUUAUUGUCAAGAUAAAUUGUUAGUAAUUACUUCACUAAUCCUCCCUUUUUUUUGGGCCAAUUUCUCUUUCGCAACUGACAAAAUUUAAUUCACAUCAUGUGAUAGUAUGAUUGCAAAUAAAUUUGAAGUUAUCUCUCGCAAGUUAUUCAAAAAUACAUUGACAUAUCUUGUGUAUAGAACUAAAGAACAAUAGCAAAACCAAUAUCCUUUAGCCGAUCGCUGCUAUUAGGACGGCAAAAUUAGUAGUAAAUAUGUAAAUUUGUCUAAACCCAUCUACAAAAUUCUGUCCACUGCGAAUAAUUUUGUAGGUUGCGGAUAAGUUUGAUAUUUUAAAUUUAAGUUCGUUGCAGAUUACGGAUGGAUUCAAUAUUGAGAAAAAAAUUGGCGGGUGUCUGCCGCUAGCAUUUUUUUAAUUAUUUAUGUUUUUAAUUUUAAUCACAAAGAUUGUCUUAAAAAAAAUUUAAUCAUAAAAAUAUAAUAGUUAAAGAUAUUACUCUAAUCUUCCAAAUUCCUAAACCUAACCUAACUCAUGACAGUUGCACACCCUACUCCUUCAAGUAUGUAUGUAUGUAAAUGUAUACACACGCCCACACACACAAAAUUAGCUUUUAAUAAGUAGAUUUAGUAUUUUUCAAGUUUAAUAUUAAUGAUAUUUUAAUUUAAUUUAAUUACUUUUGUUUGUUUCGCUUUAAUGACUUGAACUUAGUAAUUGCUGGCUAAGAUUGGAUUUUUAUUUAUCUAAUUAAUGGUCAAUAGUUGUCCAAAAUAUAUUUGUUAAUAUUGUUGACAAUACUUAUAUAUUGACUGAAAGAUAGAGCAAGGCAUUAAUUUUAGUAAUAAUUAUUUGCCUACAACAAAAAUAUUUUGUGUUAGAAUGAUAUAUUUUGUGUAUUUGUUUUAAUAUUGAAACUUUAAUUUCUCUUUUAUAUUGAUAAAAUCUAAAGUUGAGUAGUUUAUGUAGAUUUUUUAGUCUGUUACUAUAAAGUUAUAUUUUGAAUUAUAUAAUUUAAAUUAUUAAAUAUAAUUUUUUAAUAUUUAUAAUUUUAAAUAAAAAAAUUUAUUAAAAAAAAAAACUACUACAUGUUAUGGGUGGAUUUGCUAAUUAUUAAAAAUUAUAGCGAACAAACUAAAGAAAAAAAGAGGCAACCGGUUACGGGCGAAUUUAAUAAUGACAAACCCAUAAUAAGCAAUACCAUUACCAUCGGCAGCUUCUAUAACGCAGGGCCGGCGGCGGUCUUGAAUUGUUAGAAGUUGCAACAUUAAUUAGCAAAAUUUUCUGCGUCAUCCCUGAAGUAUAGCAUAGAAUUAGAUAUAUCCCCUUGUUUUCAAAAUUAGUCUCUUAUUCCCAUAUGUUGUUUACUUAAUUUUUUUUUUCAUUUCAAUUGGAUUUAUAACUUCGUAAUGUUGCGCCUUGUAAAAUGUAUGCUUAAAACGCGUGCUUCUUAUUUUUUAUAUACUGCUAAGAGAAUUUGAGAAUAGAAAUAUAUAAAAUGGUGUCUCAUUUAUUAAUUAUUUAUAUCCUCUAAAUAGCACCUAACAUGCAAGCUCACUUCAAUAGCAAAAUUAAUUAAACAAAAAAAAAAAAAAGCAUUUUUAACACCAGUACAAAAACAUAACGAGUGUAAAGGAAGACUCAUUAACUUAUUUUAUGAUAUUAAAUUCACGCAGAUACCAUCAAUGUUUCUCGACCACGUUUGAAAGAGACCACCAACUCACGCUGAUUUGGAAGAUUUUCUUUAAGUAUAUAAGUGAAAAUUAUUACUCUAGUCUUCAAAAUUCUUAAACCUAAUCUAAGUCAUUACAGCCGCAUGCCUUGCUCCUUUUAUUAUAUGUAUAUAUUUUACGAUGAAUACAAUAACUUUCAAUAAGAAGAAUUUUAUACUUUUCAAGCUUAAUAUUAAUGAUAAUUUAAUUUAUUUUAUUUUAAUUACUUUGAAUUGUUUUUGUUUAAUGACCUGAACAUAUUGGUUGUUUGCUAAAGUUGAAUUUUUAUUUGUCUAAUUAAUUGACGAUAGCAAUUGUAUAAAAUUUACUUAAAAAGAUAAAAUCUUAGUAGAUUACAGAAAGAUUUAGUAAUGACAAACAUGUAGCAGCCAAUACACAUUACCAUCCCCAACUGCUAUAAUGCAGGGCCAUGGGCAGUCUUAAUUGUUAGAAUGUGCAAAAUUAAUUAGUAAAAUGUUCAGCGGUAUCCUUGAAUUUUGGCAUAGAAUUAGAUAUAUCCCCUAGUUUUCAAAAUUAGUUUUUGAUUCCCCUGUUGUUUACUUUAUAUAUAUAUAUAUAUAUAUAUAUAGUAGUUUUAUGGUCAGGGAUUUUAAAGUGCGGGAAAGUCCGGGAAAACUUUAAAACCGCAUGGUUUUCAAGGUUUAAAACUGUAAGUCUUUAAAACCAUGCGGUUUUAAAGGUUUCCUGCACUUUCCCGUACUUUAAAAUUCCGGACUGAAACAUAUUUAUAUAUAUAUAUAUAUAUAUAUAUAUAUAUAUAUAUAUAUAUAUAUAUAUAUAUUUCACUUGGAUAUAUAACUUUGUAAUGUUGCGCCUUAUAAAAUGUAUGCUUAAAAUGCAUGCUUAUUACUUUUUAUAUGCUGUUAAGAGAAAUUGAGAAUAGAAAUAUGUAAAAUGGAGUUUCAUUUAUUAAUUAUUUAUAUCCAUUAAAUAGCACCCAACAUGUAGUUCGUCUCAAUAGUAAAAUUAAUUAAACGAAGCAAAAAGAUUUUUUUUAGCAUCAGUACAAAAAUAAAAAAAAGCACAAAGCGAGAAUCACAAACUUAUUUUAUGAUAUUACAUUCACGCAGAUGUCACCAAUAUUUCCCGACGACGUUUGAAAGCGAUCACCAUCUCAUGCUGAUUUGGAAGAUUUUCUUCAAUUACAGGGACUUUCCUGAAAUUUUCAAACCACUCAUGCAAGCUUGGGAAUUUGUGAGAUUCAAAUAGUUUCACUCCCAUUACAUCUUCAAGGACAUGCAGCCAAUAAGCAAUGGCUUCAAAUGCUAGGUCCGCUAAGCCAAUAUUGUCUCCAUUGAAAAAUUUCUUCUCUCCUAGGCCAUGUUUUUCAACGGUUUGAAGCAUUUCCAAGGCUGCCUUCAUUGCAUUCUCCAGGUCUUGUCCAGUGCUGAAAAACAUUUUCCAAACAGCUACUCCCUGCCACAAGAUUUUAUAUCUAAUUCUUAUCACCACAUGAUUAACAAAAGAAAUUAGAUAAUAUGUACACACGCGUCAAAAUAUCUUUUCAAGGCUAGACGUUUCAAACUGUCAAAGUAUUUAGGAGAGUUUAUCCACUAAUUUUUAGACUAGUUUAGUAUAACUUUUCAAAGCUUAUUUAAAUAGAAUUUUUAUUAGUAAAACUUUAAUUUUUAUAAAAAAAAUUAAUUAUUUAAUUGUUAAUGAAAUUUAAAAAAAAUUUGAAAUUACUUUAACAGAUAAAUUUUUAAAGUUAUGUUACGAAAUAAAUAAAAUAAGAUUAUAAAAUAAAUGAUGAACAUUUUAAACAAUUUAACUUUUAAAAAAAAUUCCUCAAACCUCUAUUUCCAAAAGUUUAAAUUUAAACUUUUACUAGUAUAGGCAAAAGAAUUUAUUUAAUCCCAAAAUGUUCUACUAAAAAUAAAACUAAACAAUAAUAAAAAAUUUAAAAAGAGUUUUUUUUUUAUUAAAUAAACACUUAUGAGUAAUAAAUAAGCCACAUCAAACAAAUACUCAAUGAUAUAAAAGGAAGAAGAUAAAAAAAAAAAUCCUCUUAUUAUUUUAGUAAAUUAUAAUUUUGCUUUCAUGUUUCAAAAGACCUUAAAAUUCUCCCUAUCGCUAAAACAAUUAUAUUUUAAUAUUUUACCCUUGAUGUGGUAAAAUCCACGAUUAAUUAAGAAAAAUUUCUAAAGGUAAAAAAUUUAAAGUAAUUAACCGCAUUUUUUUGAUAACUUUCUCUAAUGUAAAAUAAAAGGCUCAUUGAGCUUAGUCGGCCGUGAAUGCAUUUUGCACAUGCGAGGACAUUAGUUUGAGCAUUAAUAGAAGAUAAAAAUUAAUGUUUAGAGAGUCAUAUUUCUCAUAUACAAUGAAAAAUUAAAGUAUAUAAAGAAAUCCGACAAGAUUAAUUAAAUUUACAAACGUGUUAGCAAGAAAAGUUGUGGUGCGAACCUUGUCUUCGGCAAAUUUAAUCCAAAAACGAGCUUGAGCUCUAUCAUAAGGAUCACUUGGCAUCAAGGAGGGAUUCUGUGGCCACAUCUCUUCAAUGUAUUCGAGAAUAACCAUGGACUCGCAAACUGGUUUUUCGCCAUGAACGAGCACUGGUAUCAUCUUGUGAACUGGAUUAUACUUCAGAAGCGAAGCACUUUUGUUGUAGAGAUCUUCUUCAAUGUAUUCAUACGGGAUGCCUUUCAAUUUCAGAGCCCAUACCACCUUGUUGCUAAAUGGACUCGCCCAUCCCCCGUGGAGCUUCACUUCAGCCAUGUGUCUAAGAUCGAAUUUGAAUAUGUUUGCGGUUGUUUUGCUUAGCUGAUGAGUUAUUGCAUACGUACAUCUGAAUUUAUAAUGAUUAUUCAUUAAUAUUGGAAUAUGGAGUGCGCUUGCUUGAGCAGGGAGCUUCAUAUUUCCAAUUUAUUUAAUAAAACGAUUAAAUUAAGUUGAAUUCAAUGAACUAAUGCUGCGACUUUUUAACAAUUCUGUUAUAUAUUCAACGAGAAGAGGUAUCGUAUUUGACGGGAAUCUCUUGAAACAGUGCUGAAUGAACAAGUAAUCUUAUUUAAUUUGGUCAACUGGUCAGAUAUGGCUUAAUUAUAUAUUUGGCGUUUGUUUUAGGUGCCCAGCUAGCCCUGCUGCUGUGCUUUUGACUUUACCAUGGGGUGGAGUCGUGGAGAUAUCAUCAUCCCAACUGAAGACAUAUUAUGAUAUUCUCCUGAAAACUUUGUGAGACUCAUUUACUCUACAAUUUUAGCAUUUUAGGCCAAAUAACUUCAUAUAAAUGACGUUUUGUCCCCCGGCUCCAUCUCUUCUAUAUAAAUCCGAACACCUGAAAAAUGACGAGACCGGAACAACUCUCCCUCUUAAGUCUAUGCAAAUUUUACACACCAGAGAAAGAGAGGGAGAGGGGCAGCCAUGAGAGACAACGAUACAGAAAAGAAUAUGGAAGAGAGUUUAUUAAUACCAAAAGAGAGUUUAUCAUCAACAUCCACAACAUGGGAUUUGUUGAGUGGAGAAGUGAAAAAGCAGGGUUACAUAGCAGCACCAAUGGUGGCAGUAACUUUAUCACAGUAUUUGCUUCAAGUUGUUUCCAUGAUGAUGGUUGGUUAUCUUGGUCAACUUGCUCUUUCUAGCACCGCCAUGGCCAUCUCUCUAGCUAGCGUCACCGGCUUCAGCGUCCUUGUGAGUCCUACAAUCCAUAUAUAGUUAUAUACACAAGAUUGUUUAUUCUUUCUUUUGAUAGGUAUUUGCAUCAUUGCAUGUGGGAUUUAAACAAAUAGAUGUGCCAAAUUUCUGAUGUUAAAAAACAUGCAAUUAACUAAUACCCUGUUUUUAAAAAUGCCAUUAAUUUUUAAAGGACUUGAUUUGCUCUUUUUUUUUUAAAAAAAAAAAUUCUACAGCUAACUUGAAUUGUGUAAUAUUUUCUUUGAAACAGUUAGGAAUGGCAAGUGCUCUGGAAACAUUAUGUGGGCAAGCAUAUGGAGCUCAGCAAUAUCAAAGAAUUGGAACUCAAAUUUACACUGCAAUAUUUUGUUUAUUCUUAGUAUGUUUUCCGCUUUCCUUUCUAGGGAUUUACAUGGGAAGGCUGCUAGUUUUGGUAGGCCAAGACCCCCAGAUUUCACACGAAGUAGGCAAGUUUAUAAUCUGGCUUCUUCCAGCUCUGUUUGCUUAUGCAGCAAUGCAGGCGCUUAUUCGAUAUUUUCAGUCUCAAAGUUUGAUCAUUCCCAUGUUCUUAAGCUCCUAUGCCGCUCUUUGUUUGCAUAUUCCCAUCUGUUGGGGUUUGGUAUUCAAGUCUGGACUGGGAAACCUUGGAAUUCGAGAGUUCUUCCAAUUUGCUAUCCCUUCUGCAGUAAUGGUUUGGUAUGUUAAUUAUCUUCUGGAGUUUCAUUUUCCCUUCUCAUAGAUAUCGUAGACACGUCAUAAAUUUUCAUGCAUCUUCUUUUGUUUAUAAUUUUGCAGCCUAGAAUGGUGGUCGUUUGAAUUGCUCAUUUUAAUGUCAGGGCUGUUGCCUAACCCACAGCUUGAAACUUCAGUCCUAUCUGUAUGGUAUGUUGACAUAUCUUUGUAUGUCAAAGUUCUAUACAGAGAAGCACCUACCAAAAGGAAAUAUAUUUUUUUUCUUUUUUUCCCCGACUGCUCAUUAUUUGUCAACUUCUUUGGGCAGUCUCAGUACUAUUCAAACCCUCUCUGCAAUCCCAUAUGGACUUGGUGCUGCAGUGAGGUUUGUUCAUAACAAUCAUUUAAAUAAUAAUUGUUUUAUAUCAACUAAUUAGCAGAUUAACCAUUAUUUCCUUCUAUAGUACUAGAGUUUCAAAUGAACUAGGAGCUGGGAAUGUGCAAAGAGCCCGUGUAGCUGUCUAUGCUGUGGUCUUUAUGGCGGUCAUGGAGACUAUCAUAGUAAGUGCAUCUCUCUUUGCCAGCCGGCGUGUUUUUGGUUAUGUUUUCAGCAAUGAGGGACAAGUUGUGGAUUAUGUCACAACCAUGGCUCCUCUGGUUUGUUUGUCUGUCAUCAUGGAUAGCUUACAAGGAGUCUUUUCAGGUUAAAUUAACUUCUUCAACUCUGUCAAUUGCUAAAUAGUUCUCUUUAAGUAGAAAUAAAAUUUUUCAGGUUUCUAAAUUCUUUUUAUUAUUUUUAAGGUGUUGCAAGAGGAUGUGGGUGGCAGAAUAUAGCUGCUUUUGUGAAUCUUGGGGCUUAUUAUUUGUGUGGAGUCCCAACUGCUGCCAUUUUGGGUUUCUGGUUAAAGUUUAGAGGAAGGGGCCUAUGGAUUGGGAUACAAGCUGGUGCUUUUACACAAACACUUCUGCUUGGCAUCAUAACAACAUUUACAGAUUGGGAAAAACAGGUCUGUUUCUCAACAUUUAAUCCCUUAAAAAUUAGAGAAGCUUAUUGGACUAUAUAUGUAAAUAUGUAGCAAUUUUUUUUUCCCAAUAUGUAUCUGAUACCUUUCGACUGAAAGUUCAAGAUUAAAAUCACUCAGCUUGAUCUGAAAUAGUUAGUAUUAUCAUCUUAUGCAGAAAUGGUUUUGCUCAUUGAGAAAAUGAUAUUCAAUAACACAGAUGCAAACUCAUUUGAAAAUUUUGCCAUUGAGAAAAUGAUAUUCAAUAACAGACAUGCAAACUCAUUUGAAAAAUUUGCUUUUUUGCAAGAAUUGAUAACCAUUUUCUAGUUUGUUAAUUGUUACAAGUUCUGUGUUUCUAAGGGGUUUCUCAUGUUGCAGGCAAGUACAGCAAGGAAAAGAUUAUCAAAGGGAAGAUCUUUAGAAGAUAAUAGAAUAGUAUGUGAGUGAGCAGAGUCAAUCAAUGAGCUGAUAUAUACAUUGUCCAGUUGAAAGAGAUAAUCAUUGCUUGAGAAAAUGAGCUGCUCAUAUGUCAAUUGAUGGCCAAGAAGGUUCCCCAAUCUGAUCUAUGGAGCAUCGCAUUUCAUAAAACUCUGUUUCUAGAGAAAAAAAAAAAAAAUUAACAGCUUCUUAGGAUUGGAGCAUCAGGUGACUUAGCAUUUCCAGUAUGAAAGAAUUAUAAGAUAGAUGAUGCUGCAAAAAUGAAUAGAGAUAAAAUUAAGCAAGAGAAAAUGUUUGAAUGUUAUUAAUGAAACCUUUUCCAGUGAUUGUAGAGAUAAUUUUCUUUGUAUUGAAACUUUCAGCAUCUGAAAGAUAAGGAAAAUAUUAAAAGAAAAAAGAAAAUUCUUAAAUCUUUUCCAUGUCACUCCAGCAAAGUUGAAUUGUCAUUCUAAACCCUAUACCAAAAUGUAAGGUGGCCUGUGGCCUAUAGGUAAUACACAAUUUGACAACCCCAUAUAUUUAGUAAUCUAGGUGGAUGCCAUUUAUUUAUUUUUUAUUUAAUUUUUUUUCAUUUUUAAUGCAAACAACGCCUCUUUCAUUGUGGCAUUGGAAUAUAUAGAGAUUUGUACACUGAUUUUGGACCAUAAUUCACAAAUAAUGCGACGCAUAUCUUUCUUUCAGUACUUCUUCAGGAGGAUAAGAUACAGACAUUGUUGUCUUUUUACCUGAAGCAAGUGCAUGUGCAUGAAUUGUUGUUGUCUGUUAAUCUGCUGCCACUUUGCUGCCAAAAAACUUGAAAAAUAAACCAGGAAAAUUUUCAAUAAGCAAAGUCAAACAACUAACCCCUGUUUAAGUAAUUUUCCGAAGAAAACUUUUAAACACUCAAAUAAAGCACUCAAGUAAAGUAUUUCUGUCACAUUAGCUUUCGAGUGAGGUUUGAUUUACAUUUAUAUCAGAUAUACCAAGUGUUUUUUAUUCUUUUAAUUAAUGUAUAUCACAGCUUGGAAAUUCUAAAAAUUAAUCAUGCUUAAUCUUGAGCAACAAUAUCUGUAAUCAUCAUACGAGGUCAAAGGUGAAGGAAAAGAAAAAGAAAGAGUUAGUUUUAUGUAUAUAAGUGAAAGGAUCUGUUAUAGAGUAUUUCUGUUGCAUGGUUUUCGGAGGGAUAGCAUUGUCCACAGCAUUUGGACUUUGCUUCUGAUUCAAUGGCAUUUAGAAUUUGGUUUCCGCUGAGAUCAUAUACAGCUUGAUUCUGAUAUCUUCCAUUUUGGAGGGAUUCAGAUAAAUUGAAGAAGUUUGAGGUUCCAGUUCAAAUUGGUAAUGCUGCAGAUAAUAUAUAUAAUUUUGUAGAGGUUUUCUAACUUUUAUUUUUAGUAAUGUAUUCAUGUCCUGUCAUUCUUCUUUCUGCUUAAAUCCAGUUGCCCAUGUUGGAAUUUCUUUUCAGCUUUUGUAUUCUUUUUCCUUUUUGUUCAAUAAUGCUAUAGACGAUGCUCUACCAUUUAAAAGAUAUAAAUAAAAAAAUUUAUAAAUUUUUACUUUAUCAAGGUGUGAAACCUUAUAAAAUUUAUAAAUUUAACUAAUGAACAGAAUAUUUGGAGUUGUUAUACGUGGCGUUGUUAUACCAGAACUACAACAGUUAAGAUUGUACUUUGGACCAGUAGUCCGCAAGUUCGGGUUUCCAGCCGAUAUACCUCUGUGAUUAAAACUUUAAAAACAUUUUCUUCUCGGGUUAUAUAACCCAAAACAGACUUUCCUUUAGUCUAAAACAGGGUACCAAACCAGAUAAGAAAUUAUCAAAAGUUUUCUGAUGCACAGGAUCCUUGCAAAAGGCAAGUGCAGAGCAUACUUCCUUAGGUUUCAAAAUGAACAAAUUUAAUUCUUUAUUCCUUUUCUUUCUCUAGAGAGCUUCAUUUGCAGAGAGAGGAGAGAAGUUUAAGGAUUCAUAGUGAUAAAAACACACGAGAGUUUAUUGCUUCGAACUUCUAUCUUACAAGAGAUGAGAGAACUCAUUAUAUAGGAGAAAUCUCAGGAAGAUAGGACAGGACCCCUAUCUUUUACAAAAGCAAAAGUAAAAGGUACAUCAUGACACACUUUUAAUUAUUACAAAGGGACAAGGAUGCUUUAAUAAUGAAAGCAUGACUUUGGACAAAGCAAAAGUAAAACUUAAAGUAAAAGCAAAGCAAGAUGCAAUAAUUAUAUAGGACAAAACACAAAGGGACACAGCAUUUAUUACAUGAAGACAAACUACUUUAUGGAGAGGAGAGAUUCAUGUAGUCAUCUUCAGAGGAACUUUCUGUUGUGUCUGGGUCCGUGUCACCAGAGUGAUGAGGGUUUGGGAAAAAAAGGUUUGGAGAGCUUUUGAUGUUUACAGGAGGGACCACGGCAAGGUGGGUGAGGGCAAUUAUAGUCUCUUGGAGUACACCUUGGAGUAUACUUUGGAGAGGUUUGGGUGGCUUUGUCAACUUUGGAGGUUUGGGCUGGCCUUUUGGAAGGUUGGGUUGAUGGACCUGCUUCGAAGGGUCCGGGUUCAUCCAUUGUUGGUUGGGGAAAUGGUUGUAAGUGUUGGCUUAGAGGAAGAAAUGCAUCCCAUGGAUCUUGGGAAUCCUGGAACAGGAAGUCAGUGUAGUCUGGUUUUUCUUCCUUGAUAAUGAUACCUGUGGACUUUGGUUUGGAUAUAGUGGACGGAGUAGGAAUCAUGAUGAGGUCAUGUUGUGGACCUAAGGAGGUGUGGAAGAUAUCUCGGUGUAGAGGAGUCUGGUGGUUCAAUUGACAAAGAUAAUUGUACAGGGUGGUCUGGAUUUCAUUGUCAAUGAUAGCUGGAUGAGGGGCAGUAAACCAUUCAUAAACUUGAUCUUGAGUCCAAAAGAGGUUUGUGUCUGGAUGUUGGAAAUAUGGUCGGUGAAUGAUAAAAAUGGAUGUGAACAUUUGGGCUUCAGAAGCUGGUAUACGGUCGAGAUUGUAGAUCUCUGUUAGUUGCUGUAACUUUUUUCUCCACCAUGGGAUGGGAGAAUACAAUUCCAGUAAUAUCCAGAUAAGAGAAGUGGCUUUUUUCGGGUCGAGGAGAUGGGAUAAGGUAGGAGCAAUUGGUAGGAUGAGCUUGGUAGCAUAAAGAACAGUUAGGCACCAGAGGUACCAUAACUCGUCUUCAGUGAUUUCUCUAGAUGGAUCAAGGGUCAAACCUGUCAGGAACAGAUUUUCUGGGUGGAAAGUGGAAAAUGGAAAGGAGUCGGCCAUAAGGUAGGCUUUCAUGAAGAAGCGAAAAACAGCUUUCCUUGCAAAUUCCUGGAUAGCAAAAACAGAGGAUAAUGGUUUGUUAAGGGGAAAAGUCUUUUUGGUGAGAGCUUCUGGUGGAAGAGAGGUAGCCAUGAAGAUGAUAGGAAAAUGGUAUGCUGUAGAGAUGACGGUGAGAGUGUGUUCUGGUUUGGAGAGUCUGGAGAGCAUAUCAGGGAUGAGGUUCUGGGAUCCCUUUAUAUGCUUGACAGAGAAGUCAUAUUUGAAAAACCAAUCUUUUAAUCGGAGUAGCAUCUUUUCUGGAACAGUUUUACCUUUGAAGUUGAGAAUAUUAGGGAAAGCUGAACUGUCCAUUCGGAUAAGGAAGUGGUGUCUAAUCAGAUGGUACUCAAAUUUCUUGAUGUCAUUCUUUACCGCUAAGAUUUCUUUGAACACGCUAUGGUAGUGUUUCUGUGUGUCAGAAAAAUGUCCACUAGCGUAAGCGAUAAAGUGUUCUUUUCCAUCGAGUUCUUCAAGGAGGAUGGCACCCCAAGAUUCAUCACUGGCAUCUAUCUGUAAGAUGCGCUUUCCAUCUGCAAUUAACUUUAAAGGAGGCGGAUUUUGCGCGAUUUGUUUGAGAGUAGUGACAGCACGUGUGUGGUCAUCAUUCCACUCAGCAGGUUUCUUUUUCAAUAAAGCCGAGAGAUGAUGAGUGUAGUGGUCCACAUGUGGGAUGAAGUCUCUGAUGUAGUUGAUAAUCCCGAGAAACUGUUGAACUUGCUUUUUGGAAAGUUGUUGAUCUGGAAAGUGAAGCAACUCUUGAGCGAUGUGCUUUCCUGGCUGGUAAUGGCCAUCUUUAAUGAUCAUACCAAGAAAUUCGAUGGUAUCUGUGGCAAUGGUGCUUUUCUUGGCAGACAACAUGAUUCCAUGACUGUGGACAAGAUCAUAGAACUGGCUUAACAGCUGGUGAUGUUCAUCAUGUGAACUUGAAAAAAGCAAGAUGUCAUCAAUAUAAAUCAAUGCAUGAGACAGGAUAGGCUGAAAGAUCUUGAUCAUGGAUUUUUGAAAGAUAGAUGGGGCAGUUUUGAGGCCGAAGGGUAAGACUGUCCAUUGGAAAUGGGCAUUGGGAAUGCAAAAGGCAGUCUUAUAUCGUUCAGAGGGUUCGAUGCCUAAUUGCCAAAAACCUGACUUUAAAUCAAAUUUGGAAAAGAUCUGGGCAUUUUUUAGAAAAGUAAACAUGCUUUGUCGGCGGGGUAAAGGAAAUUUGUCAUCUUGCAAAAACAUGUUUAGGGGAUGAUAGUCUAUGACUAGGCGUUUUUUCCCUCGAACAAUUUCAGAAUGCUUUUCGACAUAAAAGGCUUGGCAAGCCCAUUGGGAAUUUGUGGGCUCGAUGAGACCUUGGACCAACAAUUGAGAACAUUCAUGUUGGGCUAGGAGUAAGUCAGACGGACUCAUUCCUGGAUGGGUAGCCUUGGUUGGAUUGAUGUCUUCAUUGAGUUUGAAGGGUAACUUAACAAAGAAGGACUUAUUUUUCCACAAAGGAUUUGGAUGGGUGGACUCAGAAUGAGAUUCUGGACAAAAACUCAAAAGUUUGGUUGAAAGGUCCUGGUAAGACUGAGGGGUUUCGGACAGAUUGUAAAGUUUCAGGAUGUCUGUGAAUGGUUUGAACAUGGACUUGACUCGAAUUCCAUUGGGAAUGAUUUGAAGGUGUUUGAUCUGGUGGAGGAUGUCAAAUCCUAACAAGAUAUCCUUAUUAGGAAGGGUUGAACCAAUAACUUUGGUCCAAAUGACACAAUUGGGAAAGAUUUGAAUACCAAUGGGUUUUUUGGUAAUCAAUGAGGUGGUGAACAAUUUGCCGUUGACAGCUUUGAAAUGUUCUUCAGACUGUAUCCAAUAGUCUGGUGGAAGAAUGUGCGGAUUAAGCAUGCUGCGUUGGGCUCCAAUAUCAAUAAGACCAAUUGCUGGAAUGGGCCUUUGGAAUUUUGAGGGCAAAAUCUGGAGUUUGAUGGAAGGUAUAGGAACUGUAGUGUCAAGGGACAAUAACUGUUGAUGAAAAAUGACUUAUGACUGAUCACUGUCUAAAUCAUCAGAGGACUGCUGUAGUGCGAACACGGUUUCAUCAUUGGGUUCAUCUUGUUCAGAGAAAUAGAAUUCCAGUUCAUCCUUUUCUAGGGAGUAAUCGGUAGUAGCUUGAAGAUGUUCAACAAGGCGAAUGGAUUUUUGUCUUUGGUUGAGACACUCUUUGGCAAAAUGACCCUUUUUCUUGCAGAUAAAACAUCUGAUGGACUUUCGUCUUUUAGAGUCUCGGGAAGAAGAAGACUUCUUUCUGAAGAAUCUGUAAAGUUUUCUGGACCUGCGGGGUUUGGAUGAAAAUUCUAGGGUUUUGAAUUUUCGAAAAUGCUUUUUCUUUUUGGAACUACAAUCACAAUUCUUCUUUUGUUUGCAUUUGAUCUACAAAUAAGGCUUUUUGCAGGCACUUCUGAAUGGUUCAUUGUCUUUCAACAGGUCUUUGAAAAACUAUUUUUGUUCACAGAGUUUAUCAAGACAUGUCUUGGCAAGCUGAAAGAUUUUGCCAAGAGAGAUGUUGUCAAUGACAAGAUUGGAGGCGGUGAGCUGCCGCUGUAUGUCUGGUUGGAGUUCUUCUGGAAGGGAAGCCAGAAAGACAUGCUUUAGUGUAGGCUCAUUAAAUCCAUUAAGCUUAUAGAAUAACAAGGACAUGCGUUUGUAAUGGAAAUCAAGAUCCUUAGCAUUGAGGGAGCAGCAUUUCAUGUUAAGAUAGUCUCGUCGGGCGGCUUUAAAGGCCGCAGCUGGGUCUCCGAGAAAUUGAUCAUUAAGAAUGGCGAGAGCACUUGAGACUUCUGGUAAUUGGACAAACUGUAAUUGUCAGUAUUGGCCUAAUGAAUCAAACCAAUCUCUUAGAGCACCCGUAAAACGAGUAGCAAAUUCUCUAAGGACUGAUUCAGUUGUGGCUCCUAGGUGAAGCAUUUGGAGAUCAAUCCAGGCAGACAUUUCAUUAAGGCGGUCACGCCAUUUGUAAGAUGGGAUAUCAUCAAAGGUGAACCAUGGACCAUUUGAUGAUUUAUGACUAGAUGAACUAGUUUGGGCCGGAGGAGGCUGAUGUGUAGCAGAAGAUUCAGGCAUUUUUUCUUCAACAUCAGAAGGAAUGUCAACAUAUGGUUCUGUCCGGGAUGACUGACCUUGGGUAUGUUGAUCAGGUUGAGCCAUUAGAAUCUUGGUGAUAUCAGCAUAAGAGUUUUCAGAGUCACUGGUGGAUGCUGAAGAUUCUGUGUCAGUCUCAGUGUGGCUAUCUGAAACGGCUAGAUUUGAAUCAGAAGUUUGGUCAUCGGUGGAAGAUGAGUGGUCAACUGUGUGGGCACUGAACUGGUGCAUGGGUUCUUUAUCUUUGGAUUUAGUAGGAGGUUGAGAUAAGGGUGGUUCAGGUGGUGAUGGUGAGGCCGGUGUAUAUCCUGGGGAUUGGUGGCCAGAGGUAGGAUUGGAGGAUGGGUGAAUUGUGACGGGUCGUGGUUGAGGCUUCGGCUUUGAUUUAGGUUUUGAUGGUGGUGGCAAUGGAUGUUCUCGAAAGAGUGUAUGAGUCAUACCAAAUAACUUGGAAGGCUCAUAUUGUCUAACAAGGGAAAGUAUAGAGGCAAAAGGAUGAUAAGUGGGACCAAUGGAAGGAAUGAGAGGUGAAGAAGUAAAAAGGGACGGACGUUGUUUUUCAGACUCAAUUUGGCAAAGCUCAACUUUUAGGCGUCUGAUCUCUCUUUCUUUUUGGUCAAAUUUUGGGCCAUAAUAGCGAUGGGCAAGCAUGGUUCGUAACUCAGAAUCAAGUUGAGCAAUUUUAGACUGCAGGUUUUGGUGGAUCUGCUGCAUCUGUGUAGAGAUAGAGUCAACUUUUGUCUCAAGUUGUUCAGUUCGCAAACUGAUUUUUUCAACUUUUGAGUUGAUAUUCAACAAAGUAUCAUUUUGAGCUCUAGCAUUGUGAGUUUGCCAGUUGAGGACUGACUCAAAAGGUUUGGAUGGUUCAAGAUGACCAGUUGAAGUUAUGGGUGAAGGGAUAAAAGGUUUGGAUACAACAUUUCGUUGGGAAUCUGUGUGGGUGUCUAAAGGAGGGAAGGAAGAAGAAUAUUCUGAAGAAGUAGAUGAAAACAUCAUACAACUCAGUGGUGGAGGUAGAUCUGGGAUUGGUGAUGGAAUCUCAUAUUUGCAAUGCUUUACAAUCCAUUUGAGUUCUUUUUGGUAAAUUGGUAAAGGAGCUGGUGGCGAUGGAGGGUCUUUUGGUGGUUUAGGGGGACUGUGGUGGCAAGAGGUAGAAGAUUGUUUCUUUUUGGUUUUGCUUUUCCUUUUGGUAACAUAAUCAUCGUCCUCUUCCCAAUCAUCCCAGCAGGGACAAUCUGGGUCACAGUUGCCUGAUCCAGGGACAUCCCAUAGGAAAUGUCCAUUGUGCUUGGCUGGAUAAACAGGGUAACCUUCAGAAUUGAACCCUGUAAUAAGCAGAUCUUCCUGGGCUGUUUGAACAGCUGUGAUCAUGGAGGAAUAUGUAAAAGAGAGCCGAGGGGGCUCUUGAGGAGCACUGGGAGGUGGUUUAAAUGUCAUUCUGACCGUUCCAUCUGGUCGACGUUCAAACAUGCUCUCAGAUGUCUAAACUGGAGCUGUAUUGUUAUGGAACUGUUCAUAGUUGGAGAUCCAUUCAAGUGGCAUAAGCUUGAUGAGCUCAUGGCGAGGAAUUUGUCUUGGGAUCUGGAUGAUGGUUGGGAUUUGGUCAGAUUCAGCUAAUACCAUGAAGGCAUCAGAAUGGUGUUCUAGAGUGGGAAGAUCUAAGGCAUGAUUUUGAAGCCUAUAGACCAGUUGAUGGUGUAUGGUGGCAAUUUUGGCAGAGGAAAUCUGUUCAGCACCUUGGAUCUGAACUUGAACUUUCAAGGUUGUGGGUAGAUUGGUAUAUGUUCAUUAGUUAAAUUUAACUAAUGAACAGCAUAACAAAAUAUUUGGAGUUGCUUAAUACCAUAGAAAAAAAAGCAGAAAGAGAUGUUCAAGAACAAAACACAAAAAUUUUCAUCAAGUGGAGCAUCGAUCAUGCCAGCAUAAUAACAUAAUUACAUAAUGCUCGAAGAGCACCCAAGACCUUCUGAAAAAAUAAUAUAACUUAAAAUAUCAAAAAACACAAAUAAUUAAUUGAUUAUCCAAAUAUAUAAACAAACCUAGCUCACAAUGUGAAAUAUAUUAAAACAGCAACCAUAAGAUUUUCAAACAUUUAAAUUAACGGUGAUGAUAUUUCCACCCCGUGAAUUUUAUAAAUCCACCCAUUUUUAAAAAAAUUAUUAUAAUCAGUUCACAUUAUUUUUUAAAAAUUUAAAUUAAGAAGAAAUUAAAAAAAUUGAUAUAGAAUUUAUAAUUUUAUAAAAUAAUGUAAACUUAUUGUAAUUAUUUUAUACAGGUGGACUGGGUUUAUAAAAAUAGCGGGGUGAAUAUACUUACACCCUUGAAUUAAUAGUUAGUAUAAAUUUUAGAUACCUCCCCUAAAAUUUGACUUUGCUACACUUAGAGAGAAUGUAAACAUAUAUUGACAAUGGAAAAUGCUACUUUUCUCGGGUCAAACUCCGAAUUAAAUUAAAACGACGCUGUUUUGAUUUCUUUUUUUUUCUUUCAUUCUCUCUAAAACGACGCCGUUUUAACUGGCCUCAAAUUGCUCUCUCUCUUCGUCACACAAAUCCUUUUUCUUUGUCUCUCUUCCCCUUCGUUUCAGCUUGGUUAAGGUAAAAUCAACAACAGCCCAAAUUGCUCUCUUUCUCUGUCGGUGGUGGUGCCUUCUGUACAUUUAUCCUGGUACACGUCCCCCAGACCACCACCCCGUUUCCUGUGUUUUUGUUCCAGAUCUCUUACAGCCUCCUCUAUAUUGGUAUUGUUUUCACCAAUAUCCUUACCAUUAAUACCAUGAGAAUCAUUGAAAAGCUCUUCUGUUCCCCAUCGUAGAAUAUCUUCCACUUCCUUUUGAGAUCCAGAUUUAUUGACAAAAAUAUGAUCAAGCAUUAAUUUCUUUUUUGCAAGCUGCAAGAUGCGCUCCUCAACACUGGCACCGACAACAAGCCUAUAUACUAAAAGUCUAUUUGAUUGUCCAAUUCGAUUUGCCUGAUUCAUGGCUUGAAUAUCAGCAUGCAGAUUAAAAUCAGAAUCAUAAAUUCAUCUGUGAAAAAAUAAGAACUCUGAAAAAAUAAGAGAGAACGAAGAGAAAGAGAGCAAUUUGCCUUAACCAAGCUGAAAACAAGGGUUAAAACGACGUCGUUUUAGCUUGAAUUAAAAAAAAAAGAUAUUGAAACGACGUCGUUUAUUGUUUUCGGGAUUUGACUCGGAAUUUGACCCGGGGUAGGGGUAAAUAGCAGAACUCAUUGAUAAUAUACCCCCUAGUCGUGUAUAAGAGUUAGGCACUGGUUAGGUAGUUGAGGGCAAUAACGUACAUGUUGCAUAUUUUUUUAUUUUUAAAUCUUACAAAAGCUGUUGUACUGUAACUAAUUAGACAAGAGCAGCGAAAAUGCAUACAGUGCUUUGAAGCUGGGGAAGCCCAAGGGGAUAGUAACCCAUUUUCAUUGUCAAUGCCUAGCUUCAUUUCUUCUUUUUCUCAGCAUAACUUGAUGAGUGCUUAGCUUCAUUUCGAAGGUCGUGACACCAACUGAUUUUAGCAAAAGCAGAGAUACUUUGUGAUGCAAUAAGCUAACAAGUUUCUGAAAUCAACUAUGUUUUGAACCAAAUUCCGGCGACGACCAGCAGCUGAAAAGCCGGUGAUUAAAGGGCAAUCUAGGUGCGUAAUUCUAUCAAAGCUUAAAAUUGAAGUUAGGUUUUAUUAUUUUCUUGCAUUUUGUUGAAAUUGCUGUUAGUUAGGUGCUUUAUUUUUAGUUCAAAUUAAUUGAGAAAAAUGUUUAGGGUUUAUAGAAAUUGAAGUAGUGACCGAAUAUAUCGGAAUUGAUUUUUGAGUUGAUAGUCACUCGACAUGUUGUGUAAACUAUGAAAAUG